rnacentral:lncRNA from 1 species
UGAUGAUGGUGUAAGAAAUUACGGAACGUUUGAAUAGUUUGAUAGGUGCAUAAACUGUUACUAUUAGAUUCUUAAAACAUGGCUAUAGAAAAACAAUGAUGUUUCUGUUCAUUAACGUAACAUCUUUGUUAUUUUUUGUCUAGAGUGAGAUCAUAACUCAUUGUAUUCUAAUGCAUUGUAUGAUUGAGUUAUCAUUAUUGUGAAGAAAAAAAAUGUGAGAAGUUACGUAUUAGAUUAGUUUAUUAGAUAGAAUAAUUAGAGAAUAGAAAUUAAACCUUUUUUAGAGGUGUCACAUAGGCACAAUCCUAGCAUUAGAGUUUCUUAGAAAUUGUGAUUGGGCCUAACACAACCCCACAAAAUCGGUUUAUGAGGUGAGGAUUGCCCCCACUUAUAAACAAAUUGUCAGGCCAACUCCUAACCGAUGUGGGACUCUUAACACACCCCCUCACGCUCAGGAUUACACAUCUAAAGCGUGAACAUAAAUGACGGGUGGCCCGAUAACGGAAACCUGAUAAUAGGUGGCCCAAAGAAUCGUUAAAAGGCUCUGAUACCAUCUUAGAAAUUGUGGUUGGGCCUAACACAACCCCACAAAAUCGGCUUAUGAGGUGAGGAUUGCCCCCACUUAUAAACAAAUUGUCAGGCCAACUCCUAACCGAUGUGGAACUCUUAACAGAGUUAGUCAAGUUUAGUUUACAAAGAGAAGAAAAUAUAGAUAGAUAGAUAGAUAGAUAGAUAGAUAGAUAGAUAGAUAGAUAGAUGCGCCAAAGAUGCGACACCCAUCUUGUUCCUCAGCUCCUUAAACUUUUCAUGCUUCACAAAUUUUGUUGGAAUGUCUGCUUCAUAUAUAACAGUAGGACAAUGUAACAGUUUUAGUCUUCUUUUAUUUACUUGAUCUCGUGAUUCCUUGUCUCAAUGUGUUUACGGUAAAAUGUCACAAUAUUUUUUCAGAUAGGUAAAGUUUCAUAGUGUUUAAUUUAAGUUUAACAAUUAGAUUGGAGAAAAAUAUGACAACUUAUAAUUUUUUUCUUGAUUUACAUUGUAUUUCAAAUGGUUCAAGUAAAAAAUAAUAAUUUAUUUAAUAUGGUUCCUAAUCUUCACAUAUUCUUUUCCCAUAACUUAUAAUAUAUUAAAAUAGACCUCGAAAUUAUUUGUGUACAACUCAUCAAUUAUACGCUAGAUGAUUACCUCACAUCCUCCUCUAAUCACUACACUCCAAAAAAAAUCAUUCCAAACACUUCUUUUAAUUCAUUUCUCAUUCUCUUUUUUUAUUUUUAUUUUUUUUAAUUUUAUUUAGAGGUGACGCAUAUGCAUAAUCAUAGCUUAAGAAUAAUGAGUCAAAUUUAAUUUAAGGGAAUAUUAUCUUUGAGGUACCAUAUCAUCACAAUGCUAGAUCAAGAGUAACUCAAACUUACUUUACAAUAUAAAUAUAGAAGACAAAUAUAUAAUUGAUAUAAACACUUAUACAUUCAACCUUAACCUCAUAUUUUCUAAUAUAUAAAAUCCAUAUAAACUUUAUUAAAUUAAAUCUAAAAUAUUGCUAAUAAAUUUAUUAAACCUUAAUUAAAAGAAAACAACUAAAUAGCAAUAAUGUCAUUUAAGUAUCCUUAAAAUAAAGUAGUAAUAAAACUUCCCCAAAAGAAUGUGAGUAUAGUUAGACAAUUUCAUAAGAUGCACCCAAAUUUACUCUUAAUUGUAGGAAACUCAAUUGAUGGAAAGUAUGAAGGUCAACCAAUUUCAUGAUCAAAGGUUAAAUUUCCAUGUAAAUCAUCGAAACAUGAUUUUGAAUCUCCAAUUUCACGAAGAUCAAGAACAUUCCUUUAGAAUUUUGAAUAGAUGUGUGCUUCUACAAUUAGUUACCUAGGAUACUUGAUCUUAUAAGAACCUAUUCAAUUAAAAAUAUAAUAAGAGUAUUUUCACUUAUUACAAAGACACAGAUACUUGAUCAAAUUAAACUAACACCUAUGGAUAAAGAUUCUUACUUUCUCUUGUUCGACCCUUUAGGAUUUUUGGUGUUGAGAGUUUUGAGUUUCUUGUAAGAUCCAACCAAAUCCUCCUCCAUCUUAUGGAAAUUAGUUGAGAAGGAAAAAUCUCUAAUAGUUAUAGCAACAACCACAUGUUGGCUUGGAAUAAAAAUGAAUAAAAAAAUAUUCAUUUUUUAUGCAUUUUUAAUAUGUUUCCUUCCACAUGUUUAGUGAACUCUUGAUCUCAUAACAAUGUUAAAUAAAAAAUAAUAAUGAAAAAAUACUUUAAUUUCAAUGAAAAAAUACAAUCACCAUUUCAUAUAUGAAGUGUCCUUUCAACAAAACUCUCUCUUUUCCCAAAACUUGUGUAUUUGAAAUCAAAGAAAAAAUAUCCAUUAGAGAAUACGAAAAAUUAUAGAAAUAGAAACACACAUAAACACAAAGCUUGAAGAGAAAAUCAAAACUAUCAAAAAAUGAAAUGGAAGAAGAAAUGAAAAGGAUAACAUAAGCAACAUAUAUAUAAGCUUAGAAAAAAAUGAGGAGCUUUAUAGUAAUAAACUUGUGUGUGUAAGAGGAUUGAUUAAGAAUAUGAAUAAUUUUAAAAUGUAACCCCUCAAUAUUAAUAAAAUGGAUUAUAAUGCAUUCAUUGUGUAACUUGCAUGAAGUGAAGUAAAUAGAGUGUUUUUGCAACCGAUGGAAAAUGAAAGAUAGAUAGAUAGUAAGGAACGGCUAGUAAAGAAUCAAGAACAAAAGAUAGCCACAUGGCAUAAGUAUGAGAGAUUAGUUAAAAAGGGGGGCAUCGGUAAGGUGACACAUAGGAAAAAUGUAGCUUAGAAUAUAUAUAUAUAUAUAUAUAUAUAUAUAUAUAUAUAUAUAUAUAUAUAUAUAUUAUUCUAACAUAACUAAAUUCUCCAUCCAUUCAGUCAUUUAUUUAAUAAUGAUUACAAUGAUCAAUCACUUAUUUAGAGUAUAAGGAUUCUAACAACUUAGUCAAUGACUCGUCAAAAUGGAUCUCUCUACAUCCUUCUAAAAAACCAUGACUGAUAUCCUAGACCUAAUAACUAUACUAUUGAACUCAUCUUAAUCAUUCAUUACAAUGAGUGUCAUAUUUUCUAAUUAAAGAAAGGAAAAUUAAUAAAAGGAAUGAAUAUUAUGAUUAAUAGAUUAUUGAUUUUUUUUCCUUAAGCCAUUUUAUUUCAAUCAUAUUUUUGCUAUCUUUUAUGGCUUAAUAGCAGUUUUGGCCCCCUAUGUUUUAAGAAGUUGCGAUUUUGGUCCCCUAACUAAAUAAACUACAAAACUGCCUCCUAAGUAUUGACUUAUAGGCGGUUUUGUAGGUCAAAACUGCAAAAAAAAUCAAUACUUAGAGGCGGUUUUGUAGUUUAUUUAAUUAGGAGGUCAAAAUCGCAACUUCUUAAAACAUAGGGGACAAAACUGCUAGUAAGCCUUCUUUUAUUGUGAAUUAGAGUUAAACCUUAUAUAUGGCCUUAACUAUAUAUGAUAAUUGAUUGAUUAGACUCGUUACUUAUCUUCUUUUAUCAUUUGUCCUACUUGUUGAGGUUUUAGAAAUCAGAAUCCUUCUCCCCGUUUCCCAUUUGAUCCUGUAAAGGCCGGUGCUUAACUUUUCUGUGAAUUCUUCAUUCCUUUAACAGGAUUAGCCUAGGGCAUGAAAAAGGAGCUUGUGAGUCCAUGAUAUAUAUUAUUCACAUCUAAGUUUCUUUUUUUUGUGUUGAAGUUUAAACUUCAGAUCUUAAAUAUAUUAUGCAUUAUUUCUACCAACUGACUUAAGCAUUUGCAUCCAAGUUUAUCAAGACCUAAAGCUCUUCAGAAACAGAUCAACAAUUUUUAUUUACCUCAAAUAUCCCUUUGUAGAUAUACUGUUGGUUGGGCUAUAAUGGUAAUUUAGAAAUGGCAGGAAUGAAAAAGCAAAUAAUUACAAUGAAUAAUUUUGUGAAUGUGAAGUUUUUUCAUGAGAUAUUUAUGAGUGAUUGUAGUUUCAUGUGAAAGAUGCAAUCGUGUAUGUACUUCUCACACGUUUCAUGUCUCAUGGAGGUCCCCAGCAUAAAUGAUCAGUUUGUCAAAAGUUAUGUUGAAAAAAAAUUGAUUAAGGGAUAAAGAUGAAGUAUCAACGAACAUAAGACAAAUUGAUGAAGAAAAAUAUGAAAAUCCCCUAAUUAUUUGUUUAACAUUUCUUUUUAAUCUGCUUUGAUUAUGCUAAUUGAGUUUUUGUAAUCUCAUGUAAACUACAAAAUCAAAGUCAUAUUAUGAACUCCAACACACAAAACCAACGCACAUACUCAACUCUAUUGGGUGGUUAAUAGUAAUUUCUAACUAAAUUUACUCUAUUGCCACAAUUAUGAAUACCAAUCUUGGAACUAAUUGAUAUUCAUUUAAAUAGUCGACAUAUCUCAAUAUACUCUUUGACCUAACAAAGUAUGAAUCAGAAAUAUGUAUUUUAUUCAAAAUUUAGAACAAAAACAGUUGACUAUUUAGAUUUCGGUUGUUUAUAAUUUACUACGGUGGAAGUAUUUUUUUUUCAAACACACCGGCCACGAAUUAUCCUCUAAUCAAAUAGUUCAGGUAUUCAAACAUCGAUUAGUUGUAUCAAACUAAUGUGGUCGAUCGAUUCAAAUUUUAUCAUCAUAAAAUAAGUUUUUAAAAAGAAUUAAAUAAAGAUAAAUUAUAUUUUUAAAUAUAAAACUUAUUAUUAUUUUUAAUUGUUACUUUUGAUUAAUAUUUUUGUUUAUAUUUGAGUGGGGAGGAAGGGAAGGAGUAUGUGAUAAUAACCACCACAAUAUUAUAUUUCCCUUUUUUCUCUUCCACCAAUGAUGUGUACCACAAUCUUUUCAUUUUCUUUACCUAAACCCUAAAAAGGCAAUGGAUUGUCUUGGAAGGAACACUAAAAUGAAUCAACUUUUCUUUGCCUUUUUAAAGCAUAUGCAUGCUGACAUCUGAAAUUUCGCCUAAUCUUUGCUUAUUAAUAUUUUAUUUUACUAAAUAAUGAAAAGUUAGGAAGGCAAUAAGGCAGGUUUUGUCAAAUAUUAUUCCUCUAUCCUUGUCUUCCAGCCAAUGUUGUCUAAUCUGCUUCUUGUUCUAUGUAUUAAUUUAAUAGUAUAAUAUAAGAAUGGAUUCCCUUGGAGGUAGAAUAAUUGGUUGGCAAAUUAAUAUAUUUAUUCAAGAGAGGCAUGGCUUUUUUAAGUGCUCAUCUUUUAGUAGAUAUGCAGGCUUUUUAGAGCACCAUGCUUACCUGUUCCCUGAUCACAAUAUGUUUUCUUAUAAUCAACUUUUUUUCUUUUAACUUUUCCUGAUGAAUGCAUGGGCCCCUAAUCGAAUUGAUUGUACUUGAGCACCAUCACGUUUGCAAUUAGAUUGGUAGCACCUUUUUCUAAUCUAAUCAACUGCUCCUCCAUCCAUAAUUGACCGUAUAUAUUAUACACACAAUAAAUUUGAUUUGAGAUAUAUAUAUAUAUAUAUAUAUAUAUAUAUAUAUAUAUAUAUAUAUAUAUAUAUAUAUAUAAAAUAUAUUUUAGAUGCUUAUCAUUUGCAAUGCAUGAAACCAUAAUAUUUAAAUCAACACUUCAACAAAUCUUCAGGAGAAGAUCAUGCAAUCAACAACCGAUAGGCUAGCAUGUGAACAGGGAUACCAUCGUAAAUCAGCAUCAUGUGAAUAGGUGAUUUGUUAUGAAAUUAAUCUUCGAAUCGCAGAAAAGAAAUCUCUUUUUCUCUUUCAAAUGAACGACUUUUGAAAUUCAACUUGGGUUAUUCUAUAAGAGAAGUGAUAUCAACUCUUCCGACACUAAAUUAGUUGAUUUUUAUUUUAUUUUAUUAACCAUUUCUUUAUUGAUUCCUUAUUUAUGAAUGAAUAAUAGAUUGGUGCUACUUUGUAAAAGAUAAAUAGAUUGCUUCUUUUUGACAUUACUAAAGAAGCAUAUCCAAAUGAAAUGUAAUAUAACCGCAACGUAUAAUUUAUUAUGAAAAGGUGUAAAGAUCAUGUCUGCACCUAAUUGAAAAUAAAAACACGUGUAGUCGUAAAAGAGAAAAUAUCUAUCCAGCAUACCUGAUAAAUUUUGACAUUAAUGUCAGAUUUGAUGUAGCUGGAAAUAAGAUUUGGACAAACCUCUUCUUACAGUGACAACUAGGGUAUCCAUGGAAGAAUGGUGGGUAAUUUACUUCAAUCAAUAUACAUUAGUCACAUAAGCACAUUUUUAAGUGGUAUCCAUGAACUAUCUUGACCGCACCAACAAAUUGCUCAUUUUCAUUGAUUGUUGGGUAAAUUACCCACCAUUCUUCAAAAGUAAUCUAGAAAAAAUCUAUGCAAAAACAUUUCUUAGUGAGAUCUUAAUUAAACAUAAUAAUAAGCUUAGUUAGAGUGAGAGGUUUCUGGAUUGAUAUCUUGUAAAAAUAAAAAAAUAAUAAAAAAGCUUUAAGAGAAAGGUUCUACAAUUAUUGACAUGUUGGUGUUGAACAAAAUUAUCUUAUACUAAGAGGUAUAUUUUCGUAUAUAUUUCUUCCAAAAAAAACAAUACAUUUUCUGUGUGGAUAUUGUUCUGAUUAGGAGUUUGUAUAUUAUUGUAUCAAAGAAUGAAAAUCUAUGUUUAUAAAUAAAAUUACAAAUGCACUUUUUUUAAUAUAAUUCAUUAGUACCAUUAUGUACACUGAAUGAAGGGAACUUAAUCAUAUUCUUUAGGUAUAGAAAUCUGAGCUUAAUUCUAGAAUGUGUAUGGAUAUAAAAAAACAGAACUGUAGGAAGAGAUAAUCUAAGGAAAAAAGAAAUUAUUUAAUCAUUCAAAUAAAAAAUUAAUUGAAAAUUUGGACAAGACAUGCCCAUAACCACAUUGGGACAGCGAUGAUCUAACCUUGUUAAAUAAUAUUCGACGUCAGUCCAUGGGACCGGAACAAGCUGGCAAUUCUGAUCUCGUUAUGCCAAAAAUAUCUUUUGGUUUUAAUUUUGGAAGAGACAAAAUUAUUUCUAGAAAAUAUACUUAUGUAGUAAUUGAUCAUUUGAUUGUGGCAGGUUGUUUGAGUAUUUUGAAGUAGAAUUAAUUGCAUUAUUUUUAUCAACCAAGAAAAUUUGCAUGUUUUUUUUGGGUUGAAAUUUUUGUUGCAUGUUAGAUUGUUGGUACAUGUUUUCUUCUUCAUGGUAAGACGUUAUGUUUUUUUGACGAAACAUAAGUGUGUGUAUACUUGGCCCAUGUCAUGUGCGUGUUUAUGUGAAUCCAUUUGGUUGGCAGUUAUUUUUUCCGUCCUUUGUGUACAUUGUUUAUGUCAUGUGCGUAUUUACGUGAACCCAUUAGGUUGGCAGUUCUUUUUUCAUCCUAUGAGUUUCUCAUAUACAUUGUUUGAAUUCUACAAUUCUAAAUGUUUAAUGUAUUUUGAAGGGUUUUACGUUUUUUUUUUUUUUUGCCGUUCGGAUUCUAUAAUAUAGGGCGCACGAGAAAUUAAAUAAGUGGAAAAAGAAAGUGUCAAUUAGGUUCUCUUUCUUGUGACCAAUUUUUAUAGCCCAAAAGUUUUUAGAAAUAUAAAUGUGGGCUUCCUAGUUUGCUCAUAGACCCCCAAAACACUGAAAACAUAACAUUAUGAAAUUACAAAAACUCAAUUUCAUAGAACAUAACGAUAGAUCGGUCCUUUUUAACCGUCAAAGAUCUAAAUAGGGACUGUACAUCACCGUCAUCCUUAUGAACCGACUAAUAAUCAUGCAUGCUAUCAUUGUCGUUGGGGAUAUUUUUGUUAAUUGGAGAUAUUUAUAAGCAAGUGCCUAAAUAACAACUUUGAAAUUAAUAUGCCUGAUGUAAUGUUUCUAAAAAAAUAUCUUAUGUAGAGCUAAGCCCAAUUAAAUUGUUAGGAAGCUGAAAUAAAAAAAUAAAAGGCUAUUAAUUUUCCCACCCUAUCCAUUAUUCGCGCACCUUUUUUUUUUUUACGAUCAAUUUCUAUGUUGUUUCGGACGUGCUCAGAUUAUAUAAUUCAAAAUAUGUUUAUAUAUAAGCAGAAAUAAGAAUCAUUCCCAUUUUAGCAGUUUUUAACUUUGCUUUCAAACAUGUCAAAUAAAAUCAAAAAAAUAAAUGCCACCAAAAAAUUCUAACAAUCAAACAAAAUAAUGCAAUUCUUUUCGGAUUUUUUUCUGAGAAUAUGAAGAAAAAAAAAAGUUUAAACGAUAGAAUUUUGGAUUUUGAGGGACGGAGUCCCGUAAGAAGUCUCUUGUUCUCUGAUUUUUCUUCUUCUGAUUUUCUGUCCAAGUUUCGGAGCAAUAUGAUCAAAUAGCUCGAAAACCGUAUUUUCAACUAGCUUAAAAUGACUAUCCAUGUUGCAAAUAGGUUCAUAAUUUAUAUUGAUACAGUUCGGAUUAUAUAAUCCGAAAUAUGUUCCCUUAAAUAAGGGUGUUUAGGCGUUGUUCGGAUACUAUAAUCCGAAAAAAGCAAGGAACACGUCCUAUUUUUUGGGGUGUUCAGAUUAUAAAAUUCGAAUUGAUGAAAAACUCCUUUUUUCACCCCAAAAUAUAAGGAAAACUCAAUUUAAAUUAUAGAGUCCAAAAAUUGUAUGAGCAUUUUUGUAUAUAUAUAUAAAAAAAAAAAAAGCGCGGGGAAACUGAUAGGGUGGGAAAAGUAAUCCCCAAGAUAAAAUAAAAAAGGAUAUAUGCCUGGUCCAGAAACAAAUACAAGCUUAGCCCAUCAUUACCAAACACACGUCUGCCCAUCAUGAACAAUGUUAGAAAAUUGCUCGUUUCACUUCUAAAUUUGCUCUUUAACACAAUAUUAGAAGAACAAUUAACCGUCGUCGAGGGUAUUUUGAUAUUUUAAGGUUUUAAAUAGUAAAUUUUGAAGUUCGAAUAGCAAUUUUCAAAAUAUUAAGAUCUCAUUUGACGCCUUUUAUGACGGGUUAUCCAAAUUUGAUGAGAAUUUGGUAUCCAAAAAAUUGUUACAAUAAUUUGAUGAGAAUUCAAAGAAAAAAAUAAUUAAAAUCACAUUUUAUAUUUGUUAUUUAUCAUAAAAAAAGGACUUAUCACAGUAUAUCUCACGGAAACAUUUUACGUUUGUUAUUUAUAAUAAAAAAAACAAAUAAAAUCACAUUUUAUGUUUGUUUUUAUUUUAUUUUUGAUAGAAACAUUAUCAUCAUUGUUGUGGGACAUUGAAAGGGAAGUGGGUUUAUGGUGGUUAUUUUUUACGUUAAUGACAAUAUUUACAAUUUAAAUAUACGAUGAUUUUAAAAAAUAAUUGUUUUUUUAAUUAGGGAUCCAUUUUUUAUAUUAGAACAUGACUUCCGAUUCGAUUGGUACAGCCAGGGACGGAUCCAGAAUUUUCAAUAAGCAGGGUCAAUGCAUAUACAUAAAAUUACAGGAGAAAAUAUGAAAGUAAUACUACUAUUUUAUUUAGAAAGUCAUAUAUUUUAUGUAAAAUGCACGAGUUUCUAAACAAACAUAUUAUUUUGAACAUAUUAACAUGUGCAAUUGCACUUGAUAGAAAAACUUUUUAACAAACAUAAUAUAAAAUUAGUUUAGAAUAUGACUAGGGUUUUCCUCUAGUGUACUCCCUCCCGUCAUGUUUAUAAGAAAAAAAUUAUUUUUUAGGUUCAUUGAAUAGAUAUCAAAUACAUUAGGUAUUUAAUGAAUCUAAAAUAUAGUGUUUUGCUUAUAAAUGUGAUUAAAAAAAAGUAUUAGUUUUGUUAUAUGAGGUCAACGUACAAUUUAAAGUGGGAUCAAGAUAAAAAAAAUCAUACUAUUAUUAGUUGAAAUAAAAUAAAAUAAAGUGGGGUCAAUUGACCCCAAUGCACACAAGGUGCAUCCAUGCCUGGGUACAGCUCUACUGUUAAUGGUGUUGUGGAAACUUCGUAUCAAUAAUAUGAUAAUAAAAAAUUGCGUCAUCUAAGACAUGGAAGAAAAACGUGUGCUGUAUAUUUAUUUUUCUUUUACAUUUUUCGAUUAGCUCACUCAGAUGUAAAGUGAGACAAGUAAAUUUUAGAGUGGUCCUUUUAUUGUUGUCAUGAAACCUUAUCUUCGACAAAUGUUACUUUCACAGCCUAAUAUAGUUUCCAAUUCAAUUAAUGCUUUAAAAAUGAAAUGAAUAUUAGCCCCCCGUCUUAAAAACGUACAAUGAAUCAAAUAAAUGUCAUUUUAUCUUCUUAUACUGUAUUUAGGAUUGGAGGGAGUAUUAGGCUAAGAUUUUGAUUGAAAUGGACAAUUUCAAACAUGUGUAUGUAUAUAUAACAUAACUAGAUGGACAAAGCUUUAAUGGCUCAAACCACCAUUGUAAAUAAAUAAAUGUAAUUGAUUCUUGAUGCUAUGUAGUAGCAUUCUUGUGACUUAAGCAAACUGAAAUUCUAGUUAUUUUUUGAACUAGAGGACCACUUUGAGUCAGCAUUUCAUUACUUUUUGCCUUGGAUUUAAUCCUUUCUAGUAUCUUAAUUUAUCACAAAAAGUGGUUGAGUAAACAUUAGUUACCACUUGAUUUAAUUCCGUAUCUAGAAUUAGAAAACUUGCGGUACUAUAUUAGGAAACUUGCAUGGAUAGAAACAUGUAAGAAAACGUGGAUAAAAGUUGUUCACUGAUCCAAUUCCAAUUAACGUGUAAUUAUCAGAUUCGUCUUAAAUGAAUGAGUUGGAUUGGUAAUCACUCUUUGUCAUGCAUUGUAUCUUCUUAUUUAUUAAGCUUUAACUUUGGUUAUAGACUUCUGGGUCUAAAAGGCAAUAACUUUUUCACAUUAUGUACAUAGCCAGAAAAAAAAAAUAGUACUAAUUGCAAAAAAUAAUUGUUUGAUAACCAUUUUCACACUUCAGUGCAUCUUUGUAUGCUUCCUCCACUUGGUAGUUGCAGUGCAAGAAAUUUGAUUCUCCCUUAGAAAUAUUAUUAAUUUCAUAUUUGAGUUUUGUGAAUCAACUUGACUCAAUUUGAUAAUGAUAGCCUAUAGAUUGUUGUAUUAUUAGACAAAUUAAAACUGCUUCCCUGAUUUACAUAUGUCAAUGUAUGAACCAAUCCUAUACUGGGCACGUUGGCAACAUAGAAUUUUGUCAUAUGUUGCAUUGAUAUAUGGACUGUACCUUUACAAUUGAUUGAUUGAUUGUGUUUGAAAUUAAGUGAUAUAAUCACGAUUUUCUCAUGUUUGAUUGUGUUUGAAAUUAAGCCUAAACAUACCUUGCACUACUCAGAAGCUUUUACAAUGUGCGAUACAAAUACAAUUUGCUAAGAAAAUUAGGGAUUGACAAUUUUGACAUUAUUUUCACGAUAUCAAUAACCACCUAUACAUAUGGACAAUUUGAGUCCGUUCAACAUUAUCAAAACAAUUUUCUUAAGGCAUGUGGGAAUUACACACACUUUAAACAUGAGUGUGGAUAUUGAAGUUGUAUUUGAGUCAUGUUGUUAAAGUUUCUGAAAUAUGCAACCUAUAUAUUAUUUGAACACCCACACCUUAUUAGUUAGCAUUUCAUAGUGAUAUUCAAAUUAAUUUAACAUGUUAUCAUGUUGAGAUUUUGUGGACAUGUGAAAAUUGGACUCCGAUUCACAUUAGACGUUAUAGUGAAUAUUAGAAAUUGUAUUUGAGUCUAAAUAAGUUUAGUCACUCUCAUUAACUUUUGUCGGUCAGUUCCAAAAUUAUUUAACAAUUUUUUUAAUUUUUUUCUUAUUAUCUUAGUUGAUUUUUUUUAUGACAAGAACCAAAUUAACUCAUUUCAUUCAUAAUAUCAAGCUGAAUACAAGAUGACAUAUGCUCAUGAUAUUGGAAACUAACAAAUAACAAUGAUGCUCUUGCUAACAAACAAGCCACAUUAUUUACUUGUCACCUCUUUUAAAUUGCACGCUUCCGCUUCAUUUGGUUGUGGAAUUCAUUGAAACCAAUUUGUUUUUGCUGCUAUGUACUCGUUUUCUCCCCUCAAACACAUUCCUACUAUGUAGCACCUUUAAGAUGUAUUAACUACUAUUACUUUAUCAAUAAUAUCUUUAAUUGCUUAUUACAAAUAUAAAUUGCGUCAAAAAAAUUAUUACAAAUUUAAAAAUAUUUACAUCAUGAUAAUAAACAGACAAAAUUACCGCACACAAGGACGGACCUGAACAAGACACAGUGUGGCAAGUGCCACACCAGUUCAGGUCCAAUUCUUUUUUAUUUUUUUCAAUAUUUUUUUAUCGGCUCAUUGUAUAUUUUUACUUGUAUAUUAAUAUAAACACCUAUUUUUUUAUGUUUAUACAUGCAUCUAUAUUUUUACUCAUAUAUUAAUAUGGGGACAUAUUUUUUCUCUUAAUUUACACGUGUCUAUAUUUUUACUCAUAUAAAAGAACCUAUUUUUUUGUAAUUUAUAUAUGUGUUUAUAUUUUAACUUAUAUAUUAAUACGGGCACCCAUUUUUUUUUAAUUUAUACACAUGCCUAUAUUUUAAUUCAUAUAUCAAUACAUAGGUUUAUAUAUAUAUAUAUAUAUAUAUAUAUAUAUAUAUAUAUAUAUAUAUAUAUAUAUAAUUUCUAUGCAAUUGCAACUUGUUUUCAAAAAAAGAGCGCAACACGCUUAUCGGUCUGCAUGCACGGGUAUCCUGCUAGAGCAUUUGACAUCUCUUGUAACCUAUAUAUAAAGAGAUGUUCUUAAAACAAUUAGUAAUGAUAUAAUUUUAGUUCAUUUUCAACAAAUAGAAAAUAGAUUAUUUUCUUUGUAAUUUUGGUUGUUGCAACUAUUUUCAAUAUAACUUCUUAUUAAACUCAAUAUUAUAUAAUUAUUUGACAAAAAUUUUGCCUCACUAGUAUUUUGAAAGUCCAGAUCCGUCCCGGACUGCACACAAAAAAAAAGUUUCUAGUUGCAUUGGCUUGUGGCAUUGAUAUGUGUUUCUUUCAAGGUCCUAUAUUUGAUUUUCUUUACACUAUGUUUGGUAGAAGAGAAAUAAGCAAGAGAGAAAUAAGGGAGAGAGAAGUUGGAGAGAGAUAGGCUAUUUCUCAUGUUUGGUAUAGAAGAGAAGUGAGCAGAGAGAUACAGACGACGUGGGACCCACGCCUUUUUCACUUCUCUCCAGUGCGAAGAAAGAGAGUGAAGGCACACACUUUUUCUUAUUUUUCACUAUUCUCCCUGGUUAUAUACAACUAUAUUAUUUAUCAUUUUGUUUUCAAAUUUUUGUUGUUGCUUUCCUCAAUUUUUUUUUUGUUGUUGCUGUAGCCGGUCGAAAAAAAAGCAAGUUGAGAAUAAAACCAAAAAGAAACUAAUAUGGUUCUCCCUCUUUGAUCUAAUUAAUUUAAUCCAAAUGAAACUAUUGGAAUUCACUAAUUAGUUAAGUAAUGAAUUAGGAGAAUUUAAUCGAGAUGACUAUGUAAACACAAGAAUUAAUUUAAUUGGACAAAAUUUAAAUAUUCUAAAUUAUUAAUUGAGUAAAUAAUUUAUUCAAUAUUUAUGUAAAAAAAUGUAGUUUAAUUAAUUCUUGAAUUAAUUAAACUAAAAUAAAAAAACAACAUUUAUGUUAGGUUAGUAAAUAAUUUAUUCAAUUUUUAUGUAAAAAAUGUAGUUUAAUCAAUUCUUAAUUAAACUAAAAUAAAAAAACUACAUUUAUGUUUAUAUGAAAUUAAAUUCAAAUAUAAUAUUGUAUAUUAACUUUUCUAGUAUAAGGAUAUUUUAGUCUUUUCAAAAAUUAAACACACUUCUUUCUCUUCUAUUUCUAUUCUUUCUCUCUUAUACCAAACAAUAGCUCAAAUUUACUCUAUUACUCAUCAACUUCUCUCUUCUCUUACUCUUUCUCACCUCUUUCUCUCUUCACGCUUUCUUCUCACAAUCAAACACACACUUAAUGUCAAUUUAUAGUGGUUAGUCCAUACAAAGUUUUGCUAUAGUUUAAGUAGACUCCUACAAGUAGACGAAAGAUUGGACUCGUAGGACUAGUCAAUCCUUAAGCUAAAUACCGAGUUUUUUUUUUUAAAAAAAAAAAAAAAAACUUAAACUGGUCGAUAAGAAUGAGUUUUAUCUUUUCCAUAUCACUCUCUUGUACUAUUUGUAAGAUAUUUUCGCUCUAGGACUAUCUAACUAUCUUAAUUCUUAACUCCAUUUUCUAGGAAGAAAUGUUGUCACACACGUUUCAAUAAACUUGACCUCAUUUUUGUAUCAAUUAUCAAGUAAUAUUGGUAUAUCCAAUGAAGGGGCAAAUUAUAGAAUACACCACAAUUAUAUAUAGGUGGUUCAUGACAUGAUAUAUAUUCAUUAUCCAAUAACAAUUCAUUAAGAUAUUUGCAGAACAGUCGAUUAUUUGAUUUCAACAGUUUAAGGAAGCUUGUUGUCAUUGUCCAUCAAUGUACACUCAGCUUCCCAUAAAGAAACAAGCAUGCUUCACAAGGAUAAGACCAGUCCAAGUAAUCCACUGCCAUGUGUCAAAAAAAUGGAAGCUGCUUAAGAUAUGUUCCAACCUUUUUCAUGAUAUACAUUGGUACAAAAUUGAAUUCCAUCUAAACCUUUUUCUUCAUGCAUAAAAAUCCUAGUUUACUUGGACAAAUGCUAUUGGACCCUUUAAACUGAUUACUGAGCUUCUAAGUCGUUCAACAAAAAUAUGCUUUAGGUAGGAUCAACCACUCCAAUACAUUAAAAAAAAUUGUGAGAAGGUAGUUGGGAAGCAGCAUUGGAAGUUUCUACCGACACAACGUGUAAUCAAUAGAACAUGACCUGAAUAUCCAGCUAAUGAUUUCUGGUUCUAGUUGAAACUUGUUCUUAAAACACUCAAAUCCGUGUGAGAAUGUUGAUGAUUAACUGUUCAACAACACAAAAAUCCGUGACUUAUAAGUUAUUAACUUUUCUAACUUGUUUGCAUUGGAACAUAAAUUUGCCAGCUACCAACUUUUUCUGAACUUCAACGUGCUCUGAACCACAUCAUAUGAUGCUUGUUUGUGUCUUUCAUUCAUUUAUUUACAACCCAAAAUGCACGUUUUUCUCUCUCUAUAAUUUAAAGUAGUUCUAAGCUUCAAGUAAGAACAUUUACUAUACUCGAAAAAAACCAAACAUAUCAAAAUCAAUUUUAACUCUCAAUAUGUGGAACCAAACAUACACUACAUCAUAGCACAGCCAUCAAGAAUUAAAUGUUUUAUUUCUAAAAAAAUCAGUUUUCACCCUUAUCAAGAGAGCUUCUCCAAGCAGUCAACAAAAAUAAAUUUUAAAUUUAUUAUUCUUAAAUUAAAAAUGAUACCAAGGGUCAAGACAUCAUCCACCCACCCAAUUUGAUUAAGAUCAUUAUCAAUAAACUUUGUUUGUUAACUAAAAACUCAAACUCAUGAAGUAUUGCUGUUAGGUAAUUCAUUUCACAAAAGCAUAAACCUGUAUUCACUCCUUGUCAUACAAAACAAAACAAGAAAUUUUGCUGCUAGUUACAUGAAUAAGCAAGCUAACUAGCUAAUUUGUAAAAUUCUAAAAGUAUUGAUUGACUUUUUUUCCUUCCCAAAUGAAACAACCUAUGAAGAAGGCAUCUAUCAUUCUGUACAACAACAUUAGUUUUACUGUAUAGAUAUUUCUUUCUAUUUUGUGCUUAAAUUUUGCGCUGAUGCAGCAGCAAGUCCUUCCAGCAGUCUGAUAACGUGACCAGUAUCAUCCAAAUAGUAUUUAGCCCUACUUGGUUUAUAACCAAUAGUGCAUGCAAACACUUGUGAUGAGGUUGGUAAGGCUAAAUUUGCAAUGCUUUCAAACAUAUCUUCAUCUGAACGAUCAUCUCCUAGACAUAGAAGAAAAUCUGGUGACUUCUCCUCAUUCCUCAUGGUUGAUAUAAGCUCUUCCACCACUUUACCUUUGCUCACACCCUGCAUUCCCACAUAAAUACAUGAAACCAUUACAAAAGAAAAAAUUUAAUAAUCUGACUAUUACAAUGUAUAUGAAUUAAAUCCUUAAAAGAACUCAGAGAAAGGAAUCAUCAUUACAAAAUUCACUUUCAUAAACAACCUUCAUUCCAAUUCUAAUUAACUAAUGAAAUCUUAAAACGAAUUAUCUUUCAUUUGGUCUCUUGAAAACUAAGAAAUGACAAAAGAUUAAUAUGCAUAAAAGAGGAUGGUUUGUUUAUGAUACCUGAGGCUUUACUUCAACAAUAUGUUGUCCCCUUUUAACUACUACAGGAUCAUUGGCCAGCAUACUCUCAAGGUGAACAAGAAGCUCUUUAGCUUGCCACAGUCCAAAAUCAGGAUCUGCUUCUUGAUGUUGCCAAACCAUUGCACUUUCUUUUUCUUCAAUGAAGGAACCAUCAGUCGCUUCUGUGUAAAGCGCCAUCACCUUUUCUACAUUAAUUUUCCAAUCAAAAUCUGAUGCCAAUCCGAGAGUCGUCCAAGGAGAAUCCUUACUCCACCUGCCAUCAGUCAAAAAGGAAUCCAUAAAAUGAAUCAACAAGUAAAAAACACAUCGAGAUCAUGCAACAUUGAUGAAUGAAUGAUGAAUUUCAAUUUCAAGAACACUACAUUGAAAAGUUUAAUUGAAUAAUGUUACCUUGUGAAGUAACCAUGUUCUGCAGAGAGACCCAAUUUGUCACAUGGAGAAAACCAGUCGCUAAGGCAAACUCUUCCCCUGCCACUAACAAUGAACACUGUAUUUUUGGGAUCACUGCAUAAGGAAUUCAAGAGAGAGAUAACAUCCAAACUAGGAGCUUUGUUAAUUGAUCCCUGAGGCAUCAUGGUGCCAUCAUAGUCCAAAAGGAUCAACCUACUUUUGGUAUCUUUGUAAGCAGGGGCAAUGUCAUCAAGACAAAGCUUCUUAAAACUAGGAUCCAAAGCAAUGAUUCUAAAAUUAUCAAGUCCUAAUCCCACAUAUGUCUUGAGAUAAUGCUCCCUACAAGCUCUCUCUAAAUCCUGAUCAAAACUCUUGGCCCAAUACGCUACAUCAUGAGAGCUUAUGUACUUAUAAUUCUUCUUGUGCCGCAAUUGCUUCUCGGAAUCCUUCAUUUUGAUUGCUGAGUUCAUUUUCUCUGAAACAUCAUCAAUGUUCCACGGAUUCACCCGAACUGCCCCGCUGAGUGAAGGCGAACAACCAAUGAACUCAGAAACAAUGAUAACACUAUUUUUAGGCUCAUCAUUUCCCACUCCAAGUGUUUUGUCCAAUUCAACACUUCCUUGUCUACAAACAGUAUACUCGUAAGGAAUCAAAUUCAUCCCAUCCCUCACAGCAUUCACAAUACAACACUCUGAUAUAGCAUAGUAAGCAGCCUUCUCCUGAGUCGAAACCGGACCAUUUAUACAAACAAUUGGCCUAUACCCAGAUUGUUCAUCACCAUAUUUGUCAUUAACUUCUUUGGCAAUAGCUUCAAUCUCAAACUUCACAUCCUGUAUAUCUUUUCCGCUACUCCUUGCUUGAUUCAGAAUCUGAACCAACACAACUUCACCCCUUAAUUUUUCAUUUCCCUCCAAAAGAUUCCUCAAUGCCAGAAACUUCAACCCAAUACCUUUGAACAAAUCCAAGUCAUCAACCCCCAAAAUCAAAACCUUCCCUUCAAAUUCUUCCUUCAACUCUUUCACCCUCUUAGCUGUUUCAGAGGACGACAAAACCAAUUCGAGAAGACCCAUGUGGAUCCCCACAGGAAGAAUCUUGAUGGUAACAUUUCUUCCAAAGUAAUCAACACCAAUGUAACCUCUUUUAGACUCAUAAUCCAAACCCAACAUCCUACUACAACAAGACAGAAAAUGUCUAGCAUAAUCAAAAGUAUGAAAUCCAAUCAAAUCACAGUUCAACAAACCCCUAAGAAUUUCUUCACGAACAGGUAUUGUUCUAUAGAUUUCUGAAGUAGGAAACGUGUUGUGAAGAAAAAAACCCAAUUUGACUUUAGGAAAACGUUUCCUCAAGUAAGUUGGUAAAACCAUUAGAUGAUAAUCAUGAACCCAGACAUAAUCUUCAUCAGGAUUCAAAACCUCGCGAACCUUGUCCGCGAAGAUUCUAUUGGCCUUUUUGUAUGAAAGCCAAUGAGAGGAAUUGAAACGCACACCUUGACUCUUGGACAGAGGUAGCAUGUAGUGAAACAAAGGCCAAAGAUAAUGCUUACAAAAACCAUGGUAAAAAUAGUUGUGAGUUUCAGAAGGUAGAAAAGUUGGAACACAGCGAAACUUUUCUAACAAGACUUUGGCAACUUCUUCUUGCUGUGAUGGUUCAAUUUCAAUAUGUGAUUUUAACGAACCAACGUAAAAGAGUUCAGAAUCAGAGGAAAUACCGUCUUUGAGCUGAAAAUAUAUGCUAUCAACGUCCCAUUCGAAUUUCAAGUCACAAGAAGAAGAUGAAACAACGCGUAUUGGUAACUGAUUUGAUACUAUUAUCAUUCUUCGUUUACGAGAAAUCGGAGAUGAAGGAACUGAAACGUUGGAAUAUUGUCGUUGAAACUUCUGGAACGGUGUCAUGAGUUCUGGAACUAUGUUUAGGUCUUCUUGUUCGUAAUUGUUCAUUGUUGUUAUUUGAUGGUUUAAUAAACCUAAACAAGAUCUUGAAAGCAUUGUUUGAAAAAUGAAAAAGGUGGGAGUGUUUGUGUUUGUGUUUAUGUUUAUGUGAAAAAAGAUUAUAGAUGAGUGUUGCAAAGGAAGAUGAAGCGUUGUUGAUUAAUGGAAAUUGAAGAAAUUACUGAUUCAAAUUCCAUAUGAUAGAUAAUAUAAGAAGAAGAUUAUGAGAGGAGCGUGUGUGAUUUUGAGAAAAGAAAAAAAAUACUGUAUAUACAAGACUCUGCUUACUUUUUUAUGUGACUAUACCACUAUGGAUAAGAACGAAAUUGAACCGGUUUUCUAUAUUAUGUUAAUUAAUUUUAUCUGACGGUUUAGAUUUCUUCUUAUCUCAUCACUACAUUAGAUACUAUGCGCUUAUUCUUUGCUUCUGGAUUUUAAAAUGUUACCGGCUAUAACCGGUGAGGUGAAAAUGGAUAAGGAUAUAGACCAAAGUAUAAAAUUUGCAUUCAAUGCUAAUUCUUUGGAUCACGUGGCCUUUACGGCAACAUCAUAAAAAUAGAACAAUCCAUCAAUUUAUUUUUAAAUUGCAGUAUUCCUAACAAAUAGUACAUCUAAUUUUAUUACUAUAUUUAUUCUCAGUUAUAUUUUACGAUUAUUUGGUUUGCUACACUUUGGAUCAUUUGAAAUGAUAGGAAUAACCAUAGAUUUUAAAAUAUGGUUUUCAAUCCUAUUAACCUCUUAGACAAAGUAAAGUUUAAUUCUUUCUUAUGGUUAAGGUCGAAAUAGAUGGAUUUUACCUAUUUUUACCAUGAUUGGUGGAAACACCUCAUUCCUCGUAUGUGUGUUCUCUUGUAAUUUUUAUUCUAGAUGGUGCUUUUGUUUUGGCACCAUAAUCUUGUAAAUAUUUUCUGGUGUUUUCCUUUUACACAUCUUAUGCAGAGUGAAACAUUGUUGGUUUAGUAAUAUAUCUCAUUUUAAUUUGUUAAAAAAAAAUAUUUAAUUUCUCAAACAUAGCACUUGAUACUAAUUUUUUAGAUCAGACUCACUAAUAAUAUCAAUAAUUUUAUAUCAUUAUAUUUUAAUUUUUAUUAUUAAAAAUGUGUGGAGCUCACAAAUAAGAAACGUUUAUUAGAGACUCUCAACUUAUUAAGCAUCCAAAAAAGAAAAUCCACAAUGAUAGUACCUAAUAGGUAUCAAUACCACAAUGGUGAUAUAAUUGAGGAUGGUUUUAGGAUAAUUGUUAACAAUUUUUUUUUUUUUAAUGUUUUAAACUUAAAUGUGGUUUUUGUGGUUUGGUUUUCUUAAGACCUGAUUUUGGGUUUCCUAUUUCUAAUUGUGCAUUAUUUGUUAUCCAAUUUAAAAAAAUUGACAAAUUCAUGAUUCCAACCAUUCAAUUUGAGUAUUUCAUAAUAUAUUAGGUGAGCUGACAUAAAAGUGAAUGGUCUAAUCAUCAAGAGUCUUCAAAAUCAAGAUGUUAAAAUUAAGUCAUGAUCAAAUAUAAAGAGACAUAGGAAGAUCAUUAAAAUGAUACAAAAAUAGUAAAAGAAUUUAAAGCUAAACAUCCUUAGACUGAAACCGAUAACCUCUUUAUUCAAGAUUUGUCAGACGGAAUAACUAAAAUUUAAAUUAGAAUUAGUCAAAAAAAAAAAAUAGAAAUAAUCAUGUUAACUUAUCUCAUAAAGAACGCAUAAGAGUGUUUAGAUGAAAUGAUAUAAUAUUUUAGGAAUUAAUCUUCACAUUUACGCACGUUAAUUUUUUUAUUUUAUUUAUUAUUAUACAGCUUAGUGGCUAACACACACACAUUUUAAGUGUAGAAAAUUGUGCGUUUGAGGUUCGAACCUUAAUCUCUAUAUAAUAUUAUCAUUGCAGCUACCAACUGACUUGCACAUGCAUAAUUGUUUUCACAUAUUUCAUAUUAUAAGAUGCUUUUUUUUUUAAGAAAUAUAUAUAUACAUGUUUUUUAUAGCCAAAAUAAUAUUACUCCCUCCAUCCCAUAAUAACUGAGUCAUUUGCAAAAAAAUAUUGUCUCAGAAAAUUGACCCAUUUCACUUUUCAAUACAAUAUUAAUUAUUUUUUUCUAAUUAUAACACUAAUUAAUACUCCAUCCGUCCCAAAUUAUAAGAAAAAAAAACUCAUCUUCUUUGUCCCAAAUUAUAAGUAAAAAAGACCAACUUUUAUCAAAUUUAAUUAUAUUGUUUCAAAAAAUCAUCUUUUUCAAAGAAAAAAUAAAUGCAAAGUGCAUUCAAUUUGCUUUCUCUUUCAUUUUUUCAAUAACCAAUUAAAAUUGUUUUUACGUCUUCCUAUAAAAAUUAUUUCAAGGAUAACACAAGAAACUAUGUUGCAAACUACUAUGUUUUUGUUUUCUUAAUAAGUGUGAUUUAUUUUUUGUUUAUAAUAUGAGACAAAGAGAGUACUACUUUCAUCACUCUCAAUUCAAUAUAUUCUACUUUGCAUUUAUGAUAAAUAAUAAUGCACCAAUAGUUGAUAAGGGCACUCAAAAUCAUUUUUUUCUCUCUUACACUUAUACACUUUUUCUUAAUAAACGUGAAAUGAACCAAAAGCUCAAUUAAAAUGAGACCGAGGGAAUUCAUUUUAACUCAAUUGGUUUUAAAUUUUAAUGCAAGUAUUGUGUCUAUCUAUAUAUUUAUUUUGGAAUGCAUACAAUACCUUCUUUUUCAUACGGUUGAAAAGAUCAAAAGUGGAUGGAUAUAUUAUACGAGUAGGGUGUGUUUGGUUUAAUGGAAAGAUUAAAAGAGGAAAAGAAAGAUUGUGGAAAGAUCUUCUUUCCAUUGUUUGGUACCCCCAACAAAUAAGUAAGGAAAGAAAGUUUUGGAUGGAACCCACACAAAAAAUCUUUCUUCACUAGAUUGAACCGAAACAAGAGAGGAGACCAUGUUUUUGCUUAAAAAAGACAAAAAAUAACCCUAUUCAAUAAUAUAAUAUUAACAAUAUGUAAUGGAUGCUAUUUUAUGAAAUAAACAAUAUAUAAUGUCCACAAAAAAUUAUAUUAUACAAACAUGCCAAAAAAAUAUAAGAGAAGAGAAAGAUGAAUAUUUGUAUGUGUAAUUUUGUCACAACACUAUAUAUUAUUGCAUAUAUUAAUAUUUUAUUAAUAUACAAGGGUAUUUAUGUCAAUUAAUAAAUACAUAUCUUUCUUUUCUCUUACUUUUUAUUCUACUUUCUCUUUUACCAAACAACCAUAACAAUUAUUUAACUUUCUACUCUCUUUCAUUCCUUACAUAAUCUUUCCUUUCACUUUUAUUCACCAACCAAACAAAGCCGUAAUUGAUUGAAAAAAUCGAAGUGUUUUAAGAAUAAAAAGAGGAACACACGCCAACAAGACGAGAUCCCUCUCCGCGUUCACACGGAUGGCACAAAUUUCCUUGGAUGACGUUUAAUUCCCCUAGUCCCUAGCUACGGUUCUGGGUUAUCUACAACAGCUAGGAAGAUUUGAUUGUGGAUGGAUGUGUAAUGUGUUUUUAGACGAGAAUGAAUCCUUUCAAUUUUUAUAGAUUAAUGUUAACUUGUGUCUUUGGAACACAUGUUAAGUAAUCAAAAAGAGUAAUUUUGUAUCGGAAAAUAUAAUAUAUUAAUUUUUAGGAUUAAUUAAGUUUUUAGUUCUUAUAAAUAUUCACAGUUUUGUUUUUAGUCCCUAUAAAAUAAAAUCACACUUUUUAGUCCCUGUGACAUUUUCCUUAAGCAUUUUAGGGACCAAAAAUGUUGACGGAAAUUUUUUACAAGGACUAAAAAUGUUGAUGGAAAAUUUUUAUAAGGACUACAAAUGGUGAUGGAAAAUUUUAUAGGGACUAAAAAGUAUGAUUUUAUUUUGUAAGGACUAAAAACAAAACUGUGAAUAUUUAUAAGGACUAAAAACUUAAUUAACCCUAAUUUUUGAAAAGUUGAAUGCACGACUUUUGAUACAUGCAUUUCUUUAAUAAGUUUCUAAACAUGUGCCCUAUAAAAUAUAAUCAAAACCUAUAAAAUUUAAAAUUACAUAGUGUAUGCAUUGAAAAACAUUUCAACUUAUUUAUAGAACUAUUUUUUAUUAGAAAUUGUUUAGGCGAUUCGUACUCAGAAAGGAUUUGAAGUGAUCGGACAUAAUGAUGGCAUUUGUCAAACAACAACCAUCGAGAAGCAAUUUGACGGGUGUAUAGAGUAACUUAUUACACUCAAGUUAUUAAGAGAGCAGAGUGAAAAUGGUUAUAGAGAUAGCCAUUGAAACGGUGUUACGAAAGAUGUUAUUGUUACCAUAAAUUCCUUUUAGGUUUGUUUUGUUCAAAAUUUGAAGUCCAAAGUCCUAUUUUGGACCGACUUUGUAUAUUGUAUAAUUUUAUUGAUGUUGAAAAAAAACUUAAAAGAUUAAAAUAAACAGAAGACCAAAUUUAUUUUAAAGAAAGAAGACCAAAUUAAAUAUUAGGCAGUAAGAUAUAUAUUGAGUAAUAGAUAAAGAUAAAAAAUUUCUAAAGAAAAAGAAGAUAAAGAUCAACAUAUAUUUUAUUCUUUAAAUUUUAAUCAAAUGGAAUAUAUGUUGGAAAUGUAUGUAGGGAUCGAAGUUCGAACUUCAUCCAUUCCAUUUAUUUACAUUUAAAAUAUUAAACUACUUAACCAAAUAAAAAAGAAAUACUCUAGUUGGUUAAAAGCUAAAUUCUUAGCAAUUUUUUCUUUUAUUUGAGUAAUAGUGGGAUUAUGAAUACGAAAGAGUAAGACAUGGUGUGAAAGAAGGGGUAGAUGAAUUGUUAGAAGUAGCCACAUGGAUCUAUUGUUAAGGAACGUGGCGUGUGGAUGUCGUCUUAUCCCCAAAGACUGCUUUGACUGCCAGCUUGGCAUCCACUCUUCUUCAUGUACUAAUCUGAUCAAAUCACUUUAUGCCACAUCUCAUCCAAUUUCUACUAUGCUCUUCUUUGUUUACACGCAGCUUUCAUCUAAAAAUGAAGUAUAAUAACACAAAUUAUUAUGCUCCAAAUCAAUAGCUUUUUCUUUGUCUAUUAGUAUAAUUGUAGUAAUAAGAAUAACUGUGAUAAACAUAAAUCUGAAAUGAAAGGUUUCUUUUAUUAUCAUUUUUAGUGCCUAAUAAUAGAUAAAAUUAAAUAAAUGGCUAAAGAAGUGUAUAAAUGAACAAACGUAUAAAAUACGGUGGACGUCGGCAUUUAGAUGUGAAAAAACGUUUGUGAAUUUAGAAGAUUUGCAACGUUCUGGCAGAAAUAGGUCUCACAGAGGGGUGGGGUCAACUGAAAGAUGGGGCCCACUUUAUCCACAAACAUAUUGCUAUAAAAGGUAGUUAUUCACGUGGCUGGCAUAUAAUGUUCUAUUCUAUCUAAUUUAAGGUAUAUGAUGUUCUAUUUUAUCUACUAUUUUUUCUUCUCUACCUUACUUUACUUUUUUUUUUUUUUUUGUUGCAGAUAAAAUCUCAUUAGAAUCAUUUUUCUUUUUCAUGUUUCAAAUUCAAUGAUAUUAAUUUUAUUUAGAUAGUAAUUUCUUGCUUCAUUCAUUAGUUAAAUUUUACUAUUGAAUUAAUCAAUAUCUCACGAUUGGACUAAAUCAUAUAUGAUUAUAAUUAUUGAUUUAUAGUAGUAGUGAAAAACUCAUUUGUAUAUGAUACAAAACCAUUUUCCUUAAAAAAAAAAAAAAACAUAUAAAAUCAUUUUUUUGUUAACCUUCCAAUUUUUAGAGGAAAUGGAUCAUGAUAAUCCGAAAUUCGGUUGGGAGGUAAGUAAAAUAUGAUCAUGAAUUAUUUUACUUAGGAAUUGAACUCAGAUUCUUUUAAACAAUUUAUCCUUGGUGGGAUUCAUUAACUACUUAAACCAUAUUACUUGGUUAAUUAUUUUGAAAUUGCUUUUCUCCCUUUCAAAAUUUUUCAUUCGACAAUGAGUAAUUUCUUUCAAAGGCACCUUUCUUGAUUCAAAAAUGAAAAUGUGUUUGCUUUAAAAGUAUGAACAUCAAUUCUUAGAGAAGUGUAUCAACAAACAAAUUAUCUAAAAAUAGAAGGACUCGAAUAAAGCUAUAUUUCAUAAUUUUGUGUGUGUUUGCAUCAUACAUUUUACAAUUAAAGGCAACAUCAUUUUCCAAAGUAGCAUCAUUGAUGGAAGAACUCUUGCUCCAACUCACAUUUUGGUUGAAAGUGAUCCACGAUGUAGAAUCACUCUUCAUCAUGUAUUAGCACAAUAAAUAAUGAGUUUGUUCCUUGAAUAUAUAGAGGACGAAGAACAAGAAAUAUACUACUUGUAUAUUAGUUUAAAUAUUUAUUUGAAGACCACUGAGAACAAACUAAAUUUCAUGGCUUUCUUAUAAACAAAAAUAAGUCUCUGUUCAAAUAACAAAUAACAUCAAAUAAGUCAUGCAUUAUGCACCACUGAGAUCUUAAUCAUUUUCUUUUCUAUUGUGACAUGAUUUUAUUCUCGGUGGUUACUCUUUACCCUUUGAUCGACCAUUUUCUAUUGUUGACUGCUACCUCAACUCAUACAAUAUUUUUGUUCUUUUAAGUUAUGCAAAGUCGUUUACCCAAUACACGUACCGAGAUAAUUCAAAUAAGUCACGAGAUUAAAUUUUAUAUAUUGUCCUUGUAAAUAAUUAUAUUGUCGACAGCUCACAAUCAUUCAUAUGUGUAAUUUUAGAAUAAUUAGGUUAAAAUCAAGAGAUAUUCAUUAAUUUUGUGUACAAUUAUUUUACACGUACAUCCAAUGAUAUAUUUUCAUGUUAACUCAUAUGUUUUUUUUUUUUUAAAUAAACUUAUGUUUUCAUACUCAUUAAUUAACGUAAUAAAUGCAUGUAUAAAAUAACUACUAUACGCAACACUAAUUAAAUUCUUAAACCAAUAGUCAAGAUGAACAAAUACAUGUGAUGAUAAAAUAAUCACUCAUAUAGCUAACCAAAUGCUAUUUGUCAAUGUUUACUAUGUACUAUAGUAUUAGUUUUUUUCUCAAUUUCUAUACAGCCCACCAAACAAAAUGUUUUCAAACAUGAUAGCCUGCCAAAUAUGGCGAAAUAAAAAUUCGAAUUUGAGUUGGCCAGCCAAUCACGCUCUCUUUCCAACUUAAGCUGAAAAGUUCACGAUCCCAUCCUACUACUACCAAAUUCCAGGUUUAAUUAAUUAAUUAUUGCAGGCAUAAAUAAUUGAAACAAACUUUUGAAGAUUAAGAAGGUUGGAAUAUUCAAAAGUAUAAAGCAUUUCCCCCAUUUUUUUCUUGAUAAUAUUAAUUAACCUAACCUAUCUUUCUCUCUUUCCUCACGAUUUUAUACCAAAGAAUAUUAUUCCUAACUAAUCUAGGGCUUUUUGGACAUAAUAUAGAUCAGUCAUCUUUGUCUUUUUGGUCUUCUUGUUCCCUUUGGACCGGCUUGUUUUCUAGCAUUUUGUCUUUUGAGCAGAAAAAUAUACAGCAUGCGUUAUUGGAAUUUGGUAGAUAAGGCAGCUGACAAAGACUUUAUAGUAUGUCCAAAUUUUUGUUUAUAACCUUAUCCUUGAUGAGAAGCAAUAUAUUUCAAAAGCACAACACACAUAUUGACAACAUUCAUCAUUUGUAGUUAUCACUAAGUUGACAAAUAAUUAAAAUAAGCAGCCUCAAGUGUGCAACAUGAUCUUCAUUAUUGUAUUAUACUCCUAUUUCAAAUUGGUUGCAUCAAUAAAUAACUAAUUAAUUUUCUCAUCCUUCUUUGUACUGCACAAAUUAAAAAAUGACCAUAACCUCUAUCUCAAAUAUUUUUAAAAGUGGAUUCCAGUUGUGAAGAAAAGCAUCAAUGAUCUUUUUGGAUAUGUGUCCAAUUAACAGCUAGGUUGCUUUCCUCCCUCGUUAUGAAUUUUCUAGAGUUGUAAACAUUAUCCUCUUCUUCAAACCCAACUACCUGGUCUGGAAUAUAUUACUGCCUUCAUAAAUAAAUACAUUUCUUUUUCUUCCUUAUUUUCAUUCUUAUUUAAUAUAUAAUUUUGAAAAAUGUCAAUUGAAUCUUUUAUCUUGAUUUUAGAUAUUAAUGUAGUCAUGAUUUAUAAGAUGAAAUAAAUUAUUUUACGUAGAAUAUUUUAUCAUUUUUUCAGACGAAGUGACAAACACAAUUCGAAACUCAUACAUAACCAUGAGGUUCUGGGUUUCAACCCGAAUAAAUGAUAUCAACUAAACAAUAUUAACAUUAUCAGUUGAGUUAAAACUUAUAAACACAAAUUUAUAAUUUGAGUAUCGUAAAUAAUUCAUGGUGACAACUAGGGUACCAUGGAAGAAUGGUGGGUAAUUUACCUCAACCAAUACACAUUAGCCACAUAAGCACAUUUUUAAGUGGUAUCCAUGAACUAUCUUGACCCCACCAACAAAUUGCUCAUUUUCAUUGGUUGGUGGGUAAAUUACCCACCAUUCUUCAAAGGUAAUCUAGAAAAAACCAUAAUUCAUCCCUCAACUUGACAAGCCAAUUUAAUACUAUAGUACCUUUCUACCUUGGAUAAGAAUUUGAAUCACAGAAGGUGUAAUAUCAGACGACUUUAAGCAUUGCCGACUAACCCUACAAAUCAACACGAGUCUUUUCAACGUAUUUUGUCAUCACUCGCACGUUUACCGGUAAACUUUUUGGUAGGUCACACAUCCAAAAACUACUUCAAGUCUAACAUGCUUAACUAUGGAGUUCUUAUGGUAGUACCAAACAAUUCUUAUAAGUCUUCCUUCAACCAUAUAGUCUCAUACCUACACUGCUUCAUGAUCCCUCUCAUUCCGAUGUGAUUCGGUUCGUCUAUAAGCUGUCGGGAGCCGCUCAUUGUCGAGCCUUGUACACUGGCAAUCACUUCCCUGUCCUCGUCAAUCGUGGGUGUUACAUGAUAGAUUGGAAACUUAGGUUAGUUGGUUACAUUUUUUCAGUUACGAUAUUUAACAAAAUGCGACAUGAAGAGGGGCAAAAAAUCCAAAAGAAAAAGACAAAAUACGUCAUCCCCGUGUGAAAAUGUUAGAACUCUAUAGGACUUAAACGCAAGGGAAGCAUAUAUUCGAGAUUGGUUCAGACAAGAGGAAUUCUAUAAGUUUCUUCUUCUAUUUAUUUCCACAUCUUUUCAUGCCAAUUUCCAUGUCACUUUGCUAGUUAUUGACCGAUGCGUUGCUUUUCAUGGAUGCCGACAUUAUUUAAAUUUAUUUUAAAAGUUUGGACCAAAUCAUAUUACUCCCUCCGUUACUUUCUAAUCGCGACUUUUCCAGAAUUUUUUUCUCUAAUUAAUUAUCACUUUUAAAGUUCAAUACAACAUUAAAUAUUGUUUUGCCUUUAUUACUUUUGAUUAUUUAUUGUAGAGCGAAAAAUAUAUGCAAUGAGUUAUUAAAAGAUAAAUUGUUGUAUCAAAAAUUGUAAAAUAUAUUUGUUGUCUUGAUUUGUGGAAAAAACUCAAAAGUGAUAAUUAAAAAGGAAUUCAGAGAGUAAUACUUUACAUUUUAUAUCUGCUAGCAAUUUUUCUUAAAAUAAUCUAACAUUGAUUUAUAAAAAAAAUUAUUUAUAUCUUUAACAGAUUUUGACAGUAUUACCUCAACUAUAUUUAUUUAUCUUUUUUUACUCAAAUUAUAUUUAUCUAUCUAAAUGAAAAAAUUUACUUAAAACAAUAUAUCUAUUUCUCUUUAUUAAUUUCGAAAGUUGGGGGUUAUUUAUUUAGUAAUUUUUUUAGAAGAUUUAAUUAUUAUCCAUGCGUGAAAUUGUAAGAAUAAUUUAAGAAUCAAACUGUCGAUAACAACGAGAAAUACAUAUAUACAAAUUGUUUUCUAGAAGAUUUUUUUAUUCUUAAAUUAUUUUUUAACAUAAUUCAAAAUAUUAUUUAACAAAAAAAUUUAAGGAUAAUUAAGUUUUUAGUCCCUAUAAAUAUUCAAAGUUUUGUUUUUAGUCCCUACAGAAUAAAAUCACACUUUUUAGUCCCUCUGACAUGUUCCUUAAGCAUUUUAGGGAUAAAAAAUGUUGAUGGAAAUUUUUGACAGGGACUAAAAAUGUUAAUGGGAAAAUUUUAUAGGGACUAAAAAUGCUGAUGAAAAAUUUUAUACGAAUUAAAAAAUGUAAUUUUAUUUUAUAGGGACUAAAAAUAAAAUUCUGAAUAUUUACAGGGGCCAUUUCCUUAAUUAACCCAAAAUUCAAUUGAUAUUUAAGUAAUUUAAGAAUCAAACUCUUUUUGAGUCAUUUUAGCUUGCACUUGAAUUAUUUGGUCCGAUCAUAACAACGAGUUAUAUAUUUGGUUGCAAGGAAAUAUCUUCAUCUCAAACCAUAUUUUUUUUUUUGGCCAAAUACCUCCCCAGGUCCUUUAAGUUUCAUGUUUGUUUCGGAUAAAUCUUUUAAGUUUCUAAGGUUUCAGAUAUGUCUUUUAAGUUUGAAGUUUGUUUUGAAUUGGUCCUUUAAGUUUCUAAGGUUUCAGAUAGGUCCUUUAAGUUUCGAGUUUGUUUUAGAUAGGUCCUUUCUAUCAAUCUCCGUUAAGUCAAAGUUGAUUUAAUAGAGGUGACCUAUUUGAAACAAAGUUGAAACUUAAAGGACCUAUCUGAAACCUUAGAAAUUUAAAGGACCUAUCCGAAACAAACUCGACACUUAAAGGACCUAUCUGAAACUUUAGAAACUUAAAGGAUCUAUCUGAAACAAACGUGAAACUUAAAUGACUCAGGAGGUAUUUGACCACUUUUUUUUGACGAAAAGUCAUCUCAAACCAUCGAUCUUGUGAAAAUUCAUGUUUGAUGGUGGAUUAAAACAAAGAUCAAAUGUUUUCUUAUGAUCUUAAUCUUUGGUAAAUAAUCAUCUUGGUUGUUUAGGUUUCAAAACUUUUUUAUGUUUAAUUUCUUUUGAUUGGUUGUACCUUUCUUUAAAAAAAAAUUGUAUUUUCUCUUUUCUAUUUUUUGCACACAUACCUUGUGCUAAAUAGUCUUUUAAUACAUUCCUUUGUCUUUUUAAAAAAAUUAAAAGAAUCAAAUUGGUUUAGAUAUGUUCUCUUUCAAGAACUAAUGUGGAUUUUUGGUUUGACCAAAUAUUGAUGAUUGUUUUCCUUGUAUUAUUUCGUUUAUUGCAGUUGAUUUAGCUCGUUAAUGAAGUUUGUUUUUGUAAAACAAUGUAGUCCUUAAUUGGUUUAUAAAUAAACGAAAGUUGAUUUUUCUUUCUAUAAUACUCCCUAAAUAAAUAUGAAAGUCGAACUAUAUGGAGAGUUGAGUACAUUUGUACUCCUAAUAAAAAUAAAGAUGCUCCUUUGUAACAAAAAAGAAUCAAAAUGUUCCAUAGAACAAUUCAUUUCCGUUAUUCCAUACUUGCCGGCACCACCUAAAUAAUGAUAAUGUUAGUUAGCAGGUUACAUCACCUCUCUAAAACAUUAAACAUCAUCUUUAAUUGUUUCCAAAAGGUUUAAAGAGAUUACUUCAUUUCAUGUCGGUUCUAUAGAAGCAUCUUUGAGAGCUUUGCAUUGCAUUUAUAGACAUAUAUUAGACAUAUGCAUGUGUUUAAGUUCAUGCAUUGUCUACUUGUUAGAAAUGGAAUUAUGCUAUAAUGUCUGAAAGAUCUAGUUAAACGGAUAAUGUCGAUAUUGUUAGGUUGAUCAUUUUUGCCGAGUAUAAAUCCAAGACUUUACGUUAUAUGUGAGUUUCAUGUCGUACUUAAUUGAAUUCGUCUAAAAAAAGUUGUUUCAAUAUAUACUUACAUAUGUUAAGUAUUUGUUUAUUUGUACGGUGGUUGGAGGUGGCUGUGGCCAGCUAUAUAGUGGUGGAUCCCUCUCUCCCCACCACACUUAAACGGUUCAUUCUGAACUAUCCACUUCACUUUCUUACUAUCCAACCCAAAGCAAAUGGGAUGGUACCUAAAAAACACUUAAUUAAUUGCUUGCUAGCUAAUAUCUUGUUCACUCAAAUGGAACCAAAUCACAGACACACGCAAACAGUUGACAUAAGGAUAAUUUACAAUUUCACCUAAGUUUGGUUGAUGUUUAUAUUCAUUCUAUUUUCUUUCGUUCCACGAUAAUUGAUCUAUUUAUAAACAAAAUGUCUGAAAAUAACAUUUCACUUUCAAUUUUCAACUCAUAUUUUUUUUUUAAUGUUUUAUCAAUUAUACCUUAAGUGAUUUUGUAGAUAUCAUAAUUCAAACUUUAUAUUUAUGAUAAUGACAAAUAUUUUGGAAUAGAUCAACACUCAAUCUUAUCACUAAUUACAUCCAACCAAAUGACAUUCGUGUAAGAGAUCAUUCAAGCCUACACCACCAAAAGAAUUAGAGGAAAACAACCUCAUGGCCAAAUCAAGACUCUUUGAUCAUAAUCACACGGUGAUUCAGGAUAAUCGUCACAUUUACAACAAUUAUCUAAAUAUUUUUGGGACUAUAUUCUAUCCAUGAUGCUUAUAUCACAAAAGAUCAUUAAAUGAAAGAUACGCAAUCUAUUUUUAAUUCAACAUCUUGCUUGUCUUAAACUUUAAUUGACUUGAACAUUGAAGUUCUUACAAACGCAAAACCUUUUUUUUUAUCAACUCACACCAACAAUUUCAGACGUCCUCUACAAAAAAAUUUAAGAUCAAUAAUACACUAAUUAUUGAUUCAAGUAAUGUGGUAGAUUUAUAUUUAUUUACUAUGCAUUUUUUAGGGUUCCACCAUAUAUCUACUAAAACAUUAAUAGUAAGAUGUGAGAUCACGUGACAGGGUGACUUGGAUUCAUAACAUUGGUCCAUACAUGCUGUCAAUUUCAACAAAUUAGAUUGAAUCCACAUAUGAAAAAUUUAUUAUAUGGUCGAAAGAGUAUGUGGAUCCCACUAAGAUUUAAUACGAGAUUGGAUAAAGAAAGAAGCAUUGGCCCACAAUUUGGGAAUUAUAAAAAGCAUGAUAAAAGGUUGAAAUUUGGAAGAAGAGCAAAUUGGUUGGAAACACAAUUAGCCACGUUUUAGGGAGGUAGGUCCUACACGUAGAAAGGAGUUGAAGAUAUUAAAAAGAACACGUUUUGCUUUGUUGCUGUGAGGAUUGAUGAACUAGGAACGGGUCUUUUUCUUGCAACUACUUUUCAUGUUUUGGUGUUUAUAAUCUCUAUCCUUAUCCUUGUUGGUUUUUAAUUCAUCAAUGCCUCUUUCCUAGGAUGCUGCUUCUUUUGUUGACCCACGCUUUUAACAACCAACUUUGUAAUUUCCUUUUAACUGUAAUGAAUCUAUCUACCUAGAGAAACUCUUUUGUUAAUUUAUUUCUAUUAGAAAAAAAAUUAAAAUCUAAACUCUAAUUUUCCUUUUAUAGAGUUAGAUAGUAUCUCUAAUAAAAGGUCAAUUUUGUAAAUAUGGAUUAGAUUGAGUGUGUUUGAUUUCAUGGCAAGAAAAGUCAAAAGUGAUCGUAAACAUGUACAGUUGAUUUUGACAUGUUUCAUAAAUAUUUUUAGAAAUUUUAAGAUGGAUUUUUAUUUCAAAUACACCGUUUAAGUCACUCUAAAAAAAAUCAUUUUUACCAAAUCAAUUCAUUUAAAAUCAGUUUUUAUAACCGCAAAACUAAACUAGCAUUAAGUAUAGAGUUUCAUUUCAUUUCAUUCACGUCUUGUUAGUUGUUACUACAGGAUUUAAAUUUUGGACAUUCUUUUUUAGGACUAUUUGGACGUUACUUAACUCACCAACUAAAUUACCAAUAUCUCUAAUUUAGUAACUACCUAUUUUGAAUAAGCUGAAUCAAAGCCAAAAUAAAUUUGCUCAGUUUGGGCUGAAUCCACUAUGGAUAAGUUUGGUUCUCACUUACCACCUUAGACUAUUAUAGAAGCAUUGUUCAUUGAUAGAUAAAUUAAUAUAAUGAGACACACCAGAACCUCAAAUAUCGUUGUUUUUGGGGAAACUUUCUAGAGCAAAACUUUCCAUGGCCUUGGGGACGCUUUUCCUCGUCAUUUUCGAGAAGUUUAAAUGUUUAAUAGAACUUAUAUAGUUCAUGGCUUAGAUUACGUUACAUCCUAAUCCAAGACGCAUUUUUUUAUAUUUAAUUUUUGACGGUAGACGCAUAAUUUUAUUUGAAAGAGACCAAACUUUGUUAAAAAUUAUAAAAUAAAAUAAAAUAAAAAAGUGGAUCUUACUGAACGAAAUCUUACAAGGAUUGGGAUAUAUACGAAGGGAUAAACUCUUGAAUACGCCGCGCUUUCUUCUUCUUUACCAGCAAUAUAUAAUAUUGUACAGUUUUUGACAAUUUCAUUUUGACUCAAAACAUAGUUUAUAUUUCUUGUUUCUUUUAGUGUUUUAAGGGGAUUAUCUUCUAAUAUUCCAUCAAAAAAAGAAGCAGACAAUCUUCUAGUUCUAGUAAAACAAGAAGAUAAUCUUAAAUCCGAUAGUAGCUAAACAUUGUCCGUCAUGUAUAAUGACUGUACUUGAUUCAGAUUAUGAAAUCCAAAAAAGUGUUUGAUGUUGAAGGAUGUUUUUAACGUGUUUUUACACUUUUUGAAUUAUAAUCUGAAAUUUGUAGGGCGCACAAGAAGCUAAUAGGGUGGAAAAAGAAGUUAUCUUUUGAAAUACAUCCAAAUUGAGUACCCAAAAAAAGCCCAUCUAGUUCCAAUGUCAAAGUUCUGGGCCAAAUACCCAAUGAAGAUCGUAGAUUUCAGUUAAUCCAAUCCAAUAAUCACAUGAAAAUUGCUUUUCUCACAUCCAAUGUUUCCUAGAAACACAUGGAAAUGACCAAAAAAAUCCAACGGUAGUUAACCACCGCUGACUUAUAACUAGAAAAUCAGCGGUGGUUAACUACCACUGAAUUUUUUGGUCAUUUCCAUGUGUUUCUAGGAAACAAUGGAUGUCUAAUCAUUUUUGUAAAUAAAAACUCAUUUUUUGUGUUAUCCAAAAGUACACUUCUAAACAAAUUAUGUUUUUUUUUAAAAGAACUUCCGAACAAAUUAUGUUGUUCUAUAUGUAAUUUUUCAGAAAUGUAGAGGUAAAGAAAGUUGCUCCCUAAAAUAAUGUAGUACGUAGAAAAUAAUCUUACAAAUGUGAAAUAUACACAUUAAUCUUUAAUCACUACUCCUUCAUCUAUUUUAAGUGUCAUUUCAGGCUAUGUACACACUUAAGAAAAUAAUUAGUUACUACUAUCAAUGUUGUAGUAAACAAUAUUUAUAUCUAAAGUACCAAUAUUAAUUAGAAUUAUUGAAAGUGGUAACAAUAAUUAGGCGGACUAGUCAUCACUGGAGAAAGAGCCCAGCAACUGCGGCAUUUUCAAGCAUGCAUUAACAAAUGUACUUUAUGCAGUAACAACAAUCUUAGAAAUUGAUUUGCAGACAUUCCUUGAACUCAUUCGAUAUCUUAAAGACCUGGGUGUUGGUGUAAAACCUAAUAGUUUGAAGAGACUCGUAACUCUUUUUAUGCAACAUGUUUUUCAUAUGAAGAUCUUACUAAUAGAGGAUGUGGUAAAUGGUUUUGUCAUGUUUCAAGGAAUUGAGGAAGGUACAAGACGCAAUAACUUUGAGGCUUCAAAUAAGCUCUCUUUUCUUAGCUCAAGCUGUGUUUGCUGAAGCAAUAUCUUCUCUAAAUUUGGAUGAAUUUAACAGUAAGCUGCCACCAAAAUAUAGUGGGAUGGAGACCCUGAUGCUGGUUCAAUCAUUUGCAGCUGGCUAGACAAGCUUCUAUCAAUGAGGAUCCAAUGAAUGAGAAUUAGUUAGUGACGUGUUGAUCAUCUGUGAUUCUAUUAGGGAAUGUAAUCAUAAAGGGGGAGUAGUGGUGAGUGUGUGGGGCAUUCGUUCUGGUUAGUUGGUUAUGAGAGUUUCUCUCUGGUAGGAGUCAUAGGUUCUGUUAGUCUGGUUUAUUUUCUUUUUCUGCUGUAAGAGCACAUCUUGCUCGAUUUCUAUUCAAUAAACAUACUGUUUCUUUAAUGUAUAAUUUGUGGGUUCUAUCAAGGUGUAUGUGUCAUUUUCAAUGGGCUUUUGUGCAAUAAUAAAGAGGGAAAUCCUAAUAUCUUGGUUACAGCCACAAUUUCUUGUGUAACUGAAAAGCUCGUUCUGGUAACAAUCGAGCUCCCAAUUGAUAUAAUGAAAACUGGAAAAAUCUGAGUUUUGUUUUAUUUUAAUUAGUUGAGACCAAAGAGUUUAACCAUGGUAUCCCUAAGACUAGCUGGCAACCAUCUAAUCAACUUACUCAGUCUUCACAGUAAGGGGAAAACACGGAUUAAGAAUUCAACAAAAAAUGGCAGCACCAGGGAAAAACAAUGAGUGGGUAAACAUUCAUACCAAGUAACAAUAAUAGGCUAGCAACAAAAUUCUGUUGUUAAAUCAUGUUACAUAUGUAGCAUUAACAUGUAACAAGGAAAAUUGAGUAGUGAGAAUUGUAUGAUUUGGUUUUUGAAGAAAGAAUCUGCGUUUCUUAGUAUGUAUCCAUGCACCUUUUGGGCUGUCUACUUCACAAAAAGUGAACAAUUGCUCCAACUUAGUCUUGCAGCUGAGAGAAUGAAGUAGAUGUUUGCAUAUCAAAACACUAAACAAGCGUUGUUCAACCAAAUGAAAGUAAUCAAUGCUUCAGAUAUUUCUCGCUAAAUAUGUUUAGUGUUUAGAGUGCGUGCAAUAAUGUCAACAUCUAUAUGUAUGAGUUUACCCAAGUUCAUGUAAUGUACAUGACCCAAAGAUAUGUAAGUGUAAAAAAUAGAUAUUUUCAAAGCUCACCUGAGUCACAAUACUUUAUCCAGUUUGACCUUCAAUAGCUAGGCCCACUGUGAGACCAAUCAUUGCCCAAGCUCCAUUAGUUGCCUCAAUUUGGUGUCUCUUCUACAGUCAAAACCUUAAGUUGGUUAGGUUUAUAGUAAACCGAGGAGCAUAGUUUCAUUAGUGUUAUACUACUCGGUUUCUAGUGUCUAAACUUCACCUCGAGUUUUUCUUUUUCUUUAAUUCUUUCCAUUUGUUUGGCAACCAAUCGCUUGGCUUCGAUAGGAUCAACCAUGAUCACAUCCUUCUUUGAACCAUCCUUUCCUGAAGAUACCUGUAUAAUAUUAAUAUAAAAGAUGUAGAUCUCAUUAAACAUAAAUAAAAAGAAAAUGGCAAAAAGAGAAGGGGAGAUUUAAUAUCAAAGGGGAAUUAAAGAAUACUUUACAAUUUACCCAAGAAAACUUGUAUUUAAUUUAUUAACAAAGUAUAAUAAUAUCCAAAAGAAGUAAGGCUUGGGCAAGAAAAAGUUGUAACUUAUAUAAAUACCAUUCCUUGCAUUAAAUAAAUAAAUAAAUACACUAUGGGUCCUUUAAGUUAUUUUGAUCACACAUAAGUCAUUUAAGUUCGAGAUUUGUAACAGAUUGGUCCUUUAAGUUAUUUUAGUCACACAUAAGUCCUUUAAGUUUGUAAAAGAUUUCAAUUUAGUCUUUAUGUUAACCAAAACGACGAUGUGGCAGAAGGACUAAAUUGAAAACUUUUACAAACUUAAAGGACUUAUGCAUGACCAAAAUAACUUAAAGGACCAAUUUGUUACAACCCUCAAACUUAAAAGGACUUAUGUGUGACUAAAAUAACUUAAACGACCAAUCUAUUACAAACUUGAAACUUAAAGGACUCAUGAUGUAAUUUAACCUAAUUAAUAUAUAGCAAGUUUGCUGGCUCAGAACAGACAAUGCAUUGAUUUCAAGAAUGAACAGUUGAGGCUAAAGUUUAAAAAUACUAUUUCAUCGGAAGAUAACACCCUUUAUUUUCAGCAACAAAGCUAGGUUUCAAUAAUUAGAAUGCAACUAAUAAUGAGAGGUAAUUUUAUUGAAUCACAUUGAGACAUUUAGAUAUUAUUAAGAAAGUCAGAUAUAUUGAGAAAAACCCAAGUCCAACAUCGGAUAGAUAAGACUUUUGAUAAUAGUUUAUAAAGAGGAGACACUCCUCACCUUAUGAACCGGUUUUGUAAGGAUGAGUUAGACCACAAAUUUCAACAAGAUAUUCUCACAUUACUGUGUUAUGAUUUCCCAAUCUUAUAAUUCCAGAUUUUUAUAACUCCAGAUUUCUAUAACUAUAACUCCAGAUUUCCCAAUCUUAUAAUUUGUUACUGUGUUAUGAUUUUCUACCUCUUUCAUAUCCUGUUAGGUUCCUCUUAAGGACAAUUUUUUCUUUCUAUGUAUCUUUUGCUAUCUAUAUCAAGUCAAAGCAAUAUGUAGUGAAAAGGAGGAAGAGUGAACUGAACUUACUUGGCGAUGGUUAGAAAAGAGUGAUUAGUAUGAAAGGAAGCGAAUUGAGCAUUGGUUAGGGGAAUAAUGGAUGAAGAAGAAGCCAUUGCUCACACCCUGUGAUCUUUGCUUUAUCCUUUCCCAAUUACUAUUUUUUAUUUUAUUUUGAAAUUAAAACAUAUUUGAUAUUUUAAAAAGGAAAGUGAAAGCUUACCCCUCAUUUGAGUCCCACAAAAUACUCAAUUUACACACAAAAUACGCAUAAGUGAAAAAAUUGGGGUUUAAAGCCGUGUCAUUGUAUUCGAUCUAACAAUUUUUAAAAUGUUUAUGAGAUAGAACUUCUGGAAUACAUAGAUAACUACCUCACGUUUAGUUCCAAAAAAAAAAAAAACUACAUCAUUUUAAUUUAAUCCAUAAAUUAUAUAAAUAAAAAUAAUCCUUAAAUUAUAUGAAAUUUGUAAAUUUAUUUUCUAAAAUAUAUAAAAUUUGUCAAUUUAGUAUCUAUCAAUCUAAUAUCAUUUUAAAAAGAGAUUAAAUUAACGAAUUUUAUAUGCUUCGAGGAUAUCCAAUAGUUUUUACGUAACCUAAAACAAAAGCAAUUUCUUAUUCCCCUUUAACAAAAACAAUUUCGUCCUCUCGUGAGCUUAACUCAGUUGUUGGACAAUGUAUAAAAAUAUGUAAGGUUCUGGGUUCAAACUCCGGCCACUACAAAAAAAAACAAAAACAAUUUCUUAUUCAAGAAGAUACAAAAACUAUUUAACACUUAAAAUCCUUCAAAAGUUACACUGGUUAAAGAGGGCAAAAUGCACGGGUGCGGUUAUGAUGCAUAAGGAAAUCUUUAUGCACUCUGCAUAAAUCUAGAAAUGGUUUUGGAGUACAACUCACGAAAACCAUUUUUAUAGCAAAAUGGUUUUGGCAUAAUUUUAUGCAGGGUGCUGGAAACCAUUAAGUAUAUCUAAUGGUUUUGGAGUACAACUCACAGAAACCAUUUCUGGAUUUAUGCAGGGUGCAUAAGGAUUUCCUUAUGCACCAUAACCGCGCCCAAAAUGCACUACGCUAGGGUAAUUUCUUGGUAACUAGUAAUUUCGCUCGAACGCAAUCACUUUUUCUUAUUUGAAUUUUAGAUUUCUGCUUGCGCUUGCUUUAUCCAUGGCAACAGACCUUUCUGCAAUUCGUAUUGUUGUCGCCGGCGACAAGGAACCGGCAAGUCUAGUCUAAUCACUACUUUUGCCACCGGAAAUCCUGUUAAGGAUGUGCCGCCGGUACUCUUAUCCACCCGACUGCCUAAACAUCUGUCUCCGGAUGGCGUACGAAUCACAAUCAUCGACACCUCUUCCCGGUAUCAAAACAUCUGUGUUUUAUUUUUACAUUUUUUUAUCAAAAUAUGUAUAGCUUGAGGAUCAAGAAACCUUUUAGGAUUUAUUUGUAUUGAUAUUUCACUUUAUUUUGUUGUUGUUGCUGUAGUCCUGAGGACUGUUUUAAAGUUGGUGAACAACUAAGACGAGCUGAUGCAAUUGUUCUCACAUAUACAUGUGAUCGGCAAGAGACACUUGAAAGACUGAGUUCAUUUUGGCUCCCGCGUCUUCGCGAUUUAGGGGUUCUGUUCUCUCCUCUUUUUUCCAUCUACACUUUGUUACUAUUGUACACUGCAUUUGCAUUGAGAAAAUGUUUGCAUGAUAUAGUUAUAUACUUAUAUGGACUUAAUGAACAGGUAAACGUUCCGGUUAUAGUCGCUGCCUGCAAGCUUGACUUACAACAUGAUAAUCAAGAGGAGAGCUUAGAAGACGUUGAAAUCACUAUUCGUUGUUCAGCAUAUACAACUAUGGGGGUAUAUAUAUAUCCUUCAUAUUAUUACAAUCAACAACUUCAUUGUUUUCAAAUAUUAUUAUUAAAAAAGUAUUUCACUUUACUUUUCUUAUUGAAGGUCGCUGAUGUUUUCACCUUUGCACAAUAUUCUGUCAAUUGUCCUUUGGGUCCGUUAUAUUGUCGAAAUUCCAAGACUCUCAAACCUCGAUUUGUCCGGGCUUUAAAGCGGAUUUUUAUUCACUGUGACCUUGACAGAGAUGGCGCACUUGGUGAUACUGAACUGAAUGAUUUCCAGGUUUUACUUUUUCCUUCUCAUUUAAACAUCAAAAUUGUGGCUCAUUUAUUAUCUGAAUGUUAUAUAGCUUAAUUAUAAGAUUAUUUCACUGUAGGUUAACUUGAAACAUCUAACAAAACUAUUUACAGGUUAAAUAUGUCAAAGAUCCGGUGCCAGAAACUAGAAUUGCGAAUCUAAUGAGAUUUUUGCGAGACAGAUUCCCGGAAGGUAUGAAUGAACGUGGACUUACUUUCACAGGAUUUCAAUCUCUCCAUGCUGAUUUCAUGAAAAUUUUGUUUCGUGAGAUACCAUGGACUAUGCUUAAAAGGUUUGGAUAUAAUGAUGAUAUCAAACUUGCUGAUCAUCUAAUUCCGGAUUUGAAACGUGCUCCUGAUCAGGUGUUUCUUUUGAUAUGAAAUGUGGCCUUGUGUAUAUUUUGUUCUUUAUUUCUUUAUUAGACCAGUUUGAGAUCAAUUUUUUUACAACAUGAAACUUUCAAUGUAUUCUAAUCAAGAUUUGAUUUAACGUCUACAGAGCAUCGAGUUGACAAAUGAAUCUCUUGAUUUCUUGAAGAAAAUAUUUGUUGCGUUUGAUAUUAAUUCUGUAUGUCAGCCGCUCACACGUUCUUUAAUAUUUUCACUUUUUAAUGCUUCUCAUUAGUGAUUUUCAGACAUUAUCUCAACCGGAUUUAUUGUAAUAUACAAAUUGAAAUUUAAUCACAUUUUUUCACUCCUUCAGGAUGGGUAUUUGCAACCUGAAGAACUUAAAGAAUUGUUUUCUACUGCCCCGGAAAGGUAGAUUGCUUUCUCACAUUUUUUGCUAUACUUAUUUUCACUUUAUUAUCAUCCAUUUCAUGCUUGAUUAAUUUGCAUUGGUUUCUUCUUUAAUUGAUAAUGGGGCAGUUUGAUCUGGAAUGGUUCCUAUGUCCUUUGUUGUGUAAUUUUUCAAACGUGCACAUUCUAUAAGGAUCUGGUUUAUACUUUGAACUAUGAAUUGUUUUUUAUAUGUAUGCCUUUCCCAAGUAGGGAUUUCAAUGUUGACUUUUGCCGAUGUUAUUUAAUAUUUUAUGACUGUUAAUUUCAGUCCUUGGAUCGGAGCUCCCUACGAGGAUGCUGCAGAUGAGAGCGCAUUUAGAGGACUAUCACUUGAUGCAUUUUUGUCAAAGGUGCUCGAGUUUUUUUCCUUAGUCUCUAUUCCCUCUUCCUCGCAUUUUGUUGAACAAUGUGUGUACGGUUGCUGGACUUCUCUUCAGAGUUUUAUCAAUCAAUUAAUUUGAUAAGUGGUUUAAAUUUGCCUCAGUUUUAUAUCAUGUUUUGACACAUGUCUAGUUUGUGUAUCUUUUAAGUGCGCUUAACAUUUUAUCUGCAAUAUUGCCACGAAUUAUCAUUGAUCUUUUAACACAUACUAUAUGGUUUCUGUACAGUGGGCCCUGAUGACACUUUUAGAGCCAACUUUUAGUGUAAAGAAUCUGAUUUAUAUUGGUUUCCCUGGCGAUCCAUCAACUGCUAUUCGUGUGAUUAGGAGCCGAAGUUUAGAUCGCAAAAUGCAACACUCGGAACGAAAUGUAUUCCAGUGCUUUGUUUUUGGGCCUAGGGGGGCUGGAAAAUCUGCACUGUUGAAAUCUUUUAUUCGAUGGUAUUUUCAUUAUGUUACGUCGAAGCUUUCUGCUACAUAGAUACUAUACUUUAAUUAUCAAGUAUCACAACUUAUUGUUGUUAAAUUCAUAAUGCAGGCCAUAUCUUGAAAUUUAUGAUCCAACUAACGAGGAUCGUUAUGUUGUAAAUGUUGUUGAUAAUUCUAUGGUAAAUGAUACAUGAUCGACAUAUGGCCCGUUUCUUCAUUUGAUAUAUUUAUUUUUCAUAUCUUGCAUUUCUUUCUUCAUGCUCGUGUUUUAUCAUUUUGUUUGCAGGGAAACAAGAAAUAUCUUGUGCUGAGAGAAAUUCCUGAAGAUGGAGUUAGAGAGCUGCUGGCGAAUAAUAAGUCUUUGGCCUCUUGUGACGUUGCAGUUUUCGUUCAUGACAGGUGAAAAAUGAUAUUUAAGUGUUCAUUACGCCAAUAUAACAUAGAAAUUAUGGAUUGCCUUUGUUACAUAGGUAUUUUGUAGAGUACUUGGGUCAUAUAUUUGGUCAUGUUAUAAAUGGUUUAAUUUACUGUUCUCCCAAAAGACCCAAAAUGAGAUAAGAAGCAUAAACCAAACUAUUUUCCUCAAGAGAAACCCAACAUCCAUCUUUUUUGUCUGUUUGUUGUUACUAUUCUAAUAUUUUCACCAUUAAAUUACUUGAUGGUGUUUAUAGGACUUGGCGAAAUUACAACUCUAUCAUUGAAUUCAAGUAUUGAUUAGUUUUGUGUAGUCUGUUUGGCUAUUUUAGCUGACAGACAACAUUUUAAAUUUUUAAUCUUCGUUCUAAUAUAUACAAGUCACUAUGAGUUUGCAUGGUAUUCAUUAAAAAACACAUCAAAUUUACUUCGCUUCCAACGCAUCUAUGAACUUCCAAGUUAUACAUAAUUUCAUGUUCUUUUGGUGUCUACUGUGGACAACUCAUAUUAAGUACAUGAGAAAAUGUUGGCUGUAUAUAUCUUACUAAAUAUUCCUCAUGGAGGUCAUCAUCUGAACUCCUUGUAGAAAUUGCUCGUCACGGAGAAGAUAAUGGCUUUGAGGUGCCUUGCCUUAUAGUUGCAGCUAAAGAUGAACAGGAUUCAUUUCCAAUGGCUACACAAGAGUUAACUAGGGUAUUUUUCAUGGACUUAUUCAUUUGGAUGAUAUAUGAUUGCAUUAUCAUAUUGCUGUAGAUAAUUGUUUGAUGGUUAAAUAAAUAGCUAUUUAAUGUGGUGAAUGUGACUCGUCUUGUUAUUAUGAUUUCAUUCAAAAACUUUAUGAAUACCAACAUUUAGCAUUUUAGUUUGUGUGAAUUACUUUAAUUAUAUUCAAGUUGAAAUUUGAUUAAGGUGAUUGAAUGCCAGCUUAAUUGUCAUUGUUUCAGUUUGUGUCCUUUUCUUGUACAUUUACCUUUUACUGGAUUUUUAUUUUGUCAUCUUUAAUUGUUUCUACUGAGAGAUUGGUUUAAGUCAUCAAUUCAAUUUCCCACACUAGUGAGUUAAAUGCCUGGCAGUACAAAUUGUUUACCCAUCAAUAUCUAGCUUCCAUAGCUAUGAUUGAUUUGUUAAGCUUUAUAAUUAUUCAGUUUCAACUUUCAACUCUUAUCACAACAUUUUCACUUUCAAGUGUAAUAACAGAUUGUCAGGAAAAUAAUAUUGUAUUCUGUUGUCUUCCUUUGUGGCGUUGUAGCAUAUAUAAUCAUAUUACAUAUGUGCUUGAUGCUUAGAAUUUUCUAGCAACUACAAUAAUGCUUCUGACAUGCCAAUGUAUAUCGUAGGUUAGUCGGGACUUGGGAGUAGAGGCUCCUAUACCAAUCAGUGUGAUGUUAGGAAGUCUCAACGGUCUAUUCCGCCGAAUUGUAACUGCUGCUGACACCCUCAUCUAAAAUCGGAAAAAGCCGUAGGCAGGACCAUCAUUUAAUCAUUCCUGAAACUUAGCCGUGCCCUCCUUUAAGCAUUCCUGUUACUGAAGCUGGAAAUAGCUGCAAGCUGUAUGACAGGCUCAUAAACGAUCCUCUUCUGUUUGUUUCAGGUAUAUUGGUUGUAAGGUUGAUUUGUUGGUUUUUCAUCAAGUUCCCUUUGACUUGUGCCAACUAGAAUAAGCAUGUUAACUUGUUUGAUUUUUGGUUGGUGUGACUUGUAUGUUGGUUCAUGUAUCAUGUAUCUUUUGGUUGCAUUAAUUGUUGAUAUUCCGAAGCGUUCUCUAUUGUAUCUUUUGUUUUAGGCUGUUUCUGUUAGACACUUAGACUUUACCAAGUCUUCUGUUUCCAUGCUUCACCUAUUUUUUGUUUCAUGCCCUUCUAAUUUGUGGAGUGACAAGGUGGAUAGACGGUUUGGGGGAGAAAAAUUAUUAAUUACUUUUUAUUUUCUUUCCAAUUUUUGAACACAUUACUGAUAACUGGUUAUUACUAACAUUUGCAAUGAAAGAGAAGUGUAAUUGAGUUUAGGACGACAAUUUUGUGAACAAUUUGACAUGCCAUUUUAUGCCUAUAUAAUUUUUGCUUCGAUGUUUAUUGCAGCUGCAGCGGUGGUCGUUGGAGUGACUCUAUUUUCUGCAAGGAACAAUGCGCAGGUUUUGUGAAUGAGUGGAGUGGGUAUAACAGUAAAACAUACCCUUAUACAUGUUGUUUGGGGGUUGAAAUAUGUUGCUGCUGCAUGAUGUCGAGAUGGUUCUUUAGUCUUUGGUGUAGUGAGGGUCAAGCAAUUCUUUGCCUUUUGGUUUUUUGUGCUGAUUAUAUCGUUUUUAGACAAAUUGACAUUCCUUGUGCCAUUGUCUUUUAUUAUUGAAACGUUUAGUUACUUUUCCAAAAAAUUCAGUAAUCACUGAUCACACUUAAGAACCACUCACAAUAUGGUUCUGUCAGGAUCUUUAUUUGGCAAUUCAAUGGAAUAUCGUCAUUCACAAUGACUUAAACGAUGACAUAUUCUCAAUCAUUGGUACAAAUUGAUGAAAAAACCAGAUCAGAAACUGAUGGUGUCCAAACUUAUGAAAUAACAAAUUAGUCUUUUAAAUUAAGGAACAACAAAAAUUUUGUUUCUCAAUCAAAAUAUUUAUUUGGUUAACAUAACGAAAGUGAGUGUUAGAGAGAGUGUUGGAAAGUGAGUGUUGCUAGCAUUCCUCUUAACCGGAAUAAUCUCUUGUAGAUAGAUAAGCAUAAAACCUUUAAAAUUGAUGAUCUAAAUUUAGAAGAAAAAAAUGACUAAAUUAACACUCAUUAUUCAAUUUAAGGGAUUAAAUUACUAUUUUGUAUAUUUGAACGACUAAAUCGACCGGCCCUUAAUAGGAAGUAGGAACUCAUCCAUUACCAUACCAGCAUACCUACAAACGAAUAAUAUACAACCUUUCCUUAUUUAAACAAACACCAGACCCUUAUUUGUUGGAGAAAUUGUACUCAAAUCUCCUUGGUGAUGCUAAAAUGACACACACUUUUCUAUUUUGUAAAAAUAUACGAGAGAUAACACACUGGAAGACGGAGUGAGUAAAGUUUUCCCCAAAAAAUAUCAGAUUCUCUAUUCUAUGGACUUCUGUGAAUUAAGAAGGGGGGAUGAUCCUAAUAUCUCAGUUACAGCCACUGUUUCUUUUGGUAUCAACUAAGUUUGCAAUUGAUAUAAAGAAAACUGGAAACACCCGAGUUUUGUUAUAUUUUAAUUAGUUGAGACCUUGCAACCAUCUAAUCAACUUAGUCCGUCUUCACAGUACGGGGAAAGCAUGCGUUACUAAUUCAAAAAUAAAUGCCACCACCUCGGAAAAACAAUGAGUGGGUAAAGAUCCAUAUCAAGCAACAGCAAUUGGCUACCAGUACAAUUCUUUUGUAAAAUCAUGUUACAUAUGUGGCAUUAAUAGGUAACAAGGAAAAAGUAAGUAGUGUAAAUUGUAUGGUUUGGUGUUAAGAAAAAACCUUAUCAGUAAACCUUUAACAGAUAUAUUCACAAAGAAUGUGAGAAAGAAUCUGCAUUUCUUAGUAUGUGUCCAUGCUCCUUUUCGGCUGUCUACUUCACAAGUAUGUGUCCAUGCUCCUUUUCGGCUGUCUACUUCACAAAAAAGUGAACAAUUGCUCCAAAGUAGUCUUGCAGCUGAGACAAUGAAGUAGAUGUUUGCCCAUCAAAACAUUAUAGAGGAAUUGUUCAACCAAAUAAUGGAAGUAAUGAAAGUGAUCAAUGCAUCAGAUAUUUCUCAUUAAAUAUGUUUGGUGUGUGCUGUGUGCAUGUAAUAAUGCCAACAUAUGUCGGACCAGGAUUGACUGCAGUCACACAAUCUUCUAGCAAUUGGAUGUGCUACCGUUAUUUCAUGGCCCUUGGUUUACUUUAAUAAAAAAAAUUAGAAAAAAUACAGGUUGAGAGAGAUAGAGAGAGAUGACCGCAGGGAAUCUGUUUCCACAUAUGUCUGUAUGAGUUUAUCUCAGUUCAUGUUAUGUAUUGUCCUAAGUACAUGUAAAUAAAAAAAGUAUAUCCAAUGUUCACCUGGGUAAUGAUAUUUUUUCCAGUUUGACCUUCAAUAACUAGACCCGCUGUUAGGCCAAUCAUUGCCCAAGCUCCAUUAAUUGCCUCAAUUUGGCGUCUUUUCUGCAAUCACAACAUAAAGUCGGUAAGUUUAUAGUAAACUGAGGAGCAUGGUUUCAUUGUGUUAUACUACUCAGUUUUCUACUGUCUUUCACCUUAAGUUUUUCUUUUGCUUUAAUUAUCUCCAUUUGUUUGGCAGCCAAUCGCUUGGCUUCCACAGGAUCAACCAUGAUUACAUCCUUUUUUGAACCAUCCUUUCCAGAAGAUACCUGUAUAAUUAUAUGUCGAUCUCAUUAAACAUAAAUGAAAAGAAAACCGCAAAAGGGAAGAGGAAUGAAAUAAUUUAUUUUGUCAUAGAAAAGUAGAAGGAAGCAACAAAGCUGGGUUUUAAUUAUUAGAUUCAACUGAUAAUGAUAAAUUGAUAAUUAAAUUUAUUGAAUUACAUUGAUAGAGACACAAAUAUUACAAGAAAGUCAUUCUCACAUUAAGUAAUCGGUAUUUUAAAAUAGCUAAAGCCUAUAAGUCUAUAAUUCCCACUGAUUUUCCAACUUUGUCAUUGCUUACUAUGUUAUGAUUUUUUCCCUUUUCCAUAUCCUGUUAUCCUCUUAAAUUUUGAACCUACCACUUCUCUCCUGUACAUUUGUAUUUUUGUGCAAGUAAAUAUGUUGACUAUAGCAUAGAAUCACAGGAAGUAGAAACUAGAACAUAUAUGAAGUAUUGAAAUGUAUAAAAGCAACACAAGUAAAGAACCAUUUGAGAUCAUAACUAUAUACUUGAGAAACAACCAAUCUGAAAUAAAAGAUCAAUUAUUUUCAACCAACAACACACACACACACACACACACACACACACACACACACACACACUAGGAAGUGUUCAAUUAAUGCAUACAUUGGGAUUAGCAAGGACUCGAAAUGCUUGACUCUGGGUUCUAUUGGAAGCCAUGCUUGCGUCUUGCUCUCUUCUCCAUCCCCACCUAAAACAAUAAGGUUAAUCUCAUUAGUUAGCAAUAACAAAACAGCGUCCUUACCCUACAGGUUUGCCAUGCCGAUUCUUAUUCAAGCAGAUAAAGUCCAACAACUAUCAGUUAGAUUCUUCCUAAGGUCAAAUUUUUAUCCUCAGGGUGGUUUGUUAUUUAUUUUUGUCGAGUCAAAGCAAUGUCGUUUACUACUAUAAUGUUUAUAACAUCCAAAAAGUAACAGACGCUGGAAUUCCUAAAGCAACCCUGCUAAUUUUCUCAAAUUGAUCUGCAAUUUUCAUUGAUUUCUUGAUUGAAAUGAAUCAUUGUCUCAGAACAACUGUUGUUCAGGUAUGUCAAUGAUGAAUACUGUUUUUCAAUCAUUUUAAUUCCAGGGCAAAGUUGCAUAAAUUCUAAUUCCUAAAACUUACAAAUCUAUUCAUUUUUAGUUUGCCUUAAAAAAUAGAUAGACAAUGAUAAUGAUAAGAAUAACACCAGAUACUACACCCCAGAAGCUUCUAUUUCCAAAUUUUUAUUUCUAAAGCUUCAAUUUAACAUUCAUUUCAUGUGCUUUCACAACAACAAUAAAAAACAUGAAGAAAGAAGUGAAAGGGGAGAGUGAAAUAAUUACUUGGCGGUGGUCGGAAAAGAGUGGUGGGUAUGAUGAAAGGAAGGGAAUUGAGCGUUGGAUAGAGGAAGAAUGGUUGAAGAAGCCAUUGCUCACACCUUCGCUUUAUCCUUUCCCAAUUUCUUUUCUCACUUUCCAACUAACAUUACUACUACUUGUUUUUUAUUUUUAUUUUAUUUUCAAUUUAAAAAAACAUGGAAUUUCAAAUUUUGUCAUACUCAACUUUUCAACAAUUAGCAACAUACUUCUUUCAAAACAAAAAUAUAUUACUUCGAAUUUUGUUUAACAAUUGUUUUUUGAGUUUUUCUAUUUCCACCCCAUGUUUUUCUGGUUACACCCAAAUUUUUUUUAAAAAAAUUUAUAAUAUCAAAAUUGCCCUUUUAUAUAAAUUUUCUUAAAACUUUAAUUUUAUUCAUUGUCAGUGAGUUUUACCCUCUUUCACCCCAUAAAGCGAUCGAUCAAACAAUUUGAUGUUCAAUAUCAAUCUCUAUGAAAAUUAAAGAGUGAAUCAAAAUAUUUUUCAUCCAUACUCAAUUGGAUAUAAGUAAGUGAAUUUCUUCUUCUAUUUGCUAGUUUCAAUUUUUUUUCCUUCACCUGCACUGAUGCACUGUACGAUUACGGUUUUAAUUUACAUUGGCAAGGUUAACUUAAAUUCAGUUUAAGUAGGUUCAUGUAAACUAAGUUUACAUGAACCUACUUAAACUGAGUUUACAUGAACCUACUUAAAUUGAGUUAACAUGAACCUACUUAAACUGAGUUUACAUGAACAUAUUUAAACUGAGUUUACAUGAACAUAUUUAAACUGAGUUUACAUGAACAUACUUAAAUUGAGUUUACAUGAACCUACUUAAACUGAGUUUACAAAAUCGCAGAACUGUGAAUCGCAGAACAAGGAAAACACAAAAUCAGAACUGAGAACCCAUAACAAGAAAAACACAAUCGAUUGAAGAACAACACUUGCUAACCUGAUUUGCUUCGAAUUUUCUUUGAAAUCAUGAAUGGACGUGAGAAAGUAUGGUUUUGAAAAUCUUCGCAGAACACAAUCGAUCGGUUGGAGAAUUAUGGUUUUGGAAGAAGGGUUUUGGGGUGUAACCAAAAAAGAAGGAAUGGGCUUUUUGAAAAUCAAAUUUUAUGAAAGGGUAAUCUUGUCAUUUUGGGGUGCAACCAUGAUUAACUAGGGUGCAAGUAGAAAAACUCUUGUUUUUUUUCAUUUGAACAAAACAAUUAAUAAUGUAUUAUGAAUGAUGAUAUUUCAACAAUCAUUUUGUAACAGUUUUUAGAACAAUUUUCAUACGAAUAUCAUUUUUCUCAUGUAUUAUUCUAUAAAAUAUGUAUCUCUAGAGUAAGUAAUUUAUGUAACCAAAAAAAAAAAUAAGUAGGUAAUUUAAUUGCAAUUUUAACAUCUCUUACAAUUCCCUUUUAACUCAAAAAGAAUUGAAUUCAUUUUUUGUGUGCCUCAAAACCGUGUAUAACUAGAUCAGGUAGGAUUAAAUUUAUUUUCAAGUCAUUCAAAAUCGAAUCGAAUCGGAUAUUUUUUUUUAUCAACUGUACAUUGCUUCUAACUUUGGUUCAAAUGAUCUUUUGUGUGCCUCAAAACUGAUUUAAAUUGCACCAUAAACACUCUACCUACUAACCAAGGUUAGGUUCCGUUUGGAUUGGCUUAUUUUAAGCUUAUGUGGGCUUAUAUACUCUCAUAAGCCUUUUUAAAGGUGUUUGGGUAAAUAAAUAAAAAUAGCUUAUCAUAGUUUUAUAAGCUGCUUAUGUCAUAUUUCAAUAAGCCUAAAUUUUCAACUUACCCUCCGGCUUAACAAGGAGCUUAUGAAUUUAUGCAACCUCCUUCGAUUCUCUCUGGAUCCACUUUUUCAAAACAUAUAUUUUAAUUAUAAUGUUAGUUAUCUUUGACGGUGCAUGAGUAACAAAAUUGUUAUAUACUUAUCUUACUAAAGUAACACACGUAACUGAGAUUUUACUAUUAUUUUUUUAAGGAAGUUUUUUAUUAUUUUUUUGUUACGUAACAGAAUGAAACUGAAUAAAAAAACAAACUUAACUUAAUAACUUUUUUAAGGGCGAAUAUUGAUUAUACUAUAUAUAUAACUUUAUUGAUUAUACUAUAUAUAUAUAUAUAUAUAUAUAUAUAUAUAUAUAUAUAUAUAUAUAUAUAUAAUUAAUAUAUUAUAAUAUUGUUUUUUACAUCUUGAUUAAUUUUAUCAAAAAAAGUCAUGAUAAUUGUGGUUCGAUUCUCUGAUUUUUUUGUUAAAUUAAAAAUAUUUAAAAUUUUGAUAAUUGCUUAUGCAAUGUCACAUCCAAACACUUCAAUUUAUGUAAGUACUUUUUAGUGUACAUAUCCAAACAUAAAUAGUUUAUCAAGUAUAAGAGCUUAUGAUGUAAGCUCUAAUAUUAUAAGCUCUAAUGCUAUAAGCAUCUAUAUAAGUUGUUUGGAGUCUAAGUAUAGCAGAAUGAACUAGUUUUUAUACAACGUAAUAAAUCAAUGUUCAACUCUUAAUUGAAAGCGGUGUCACCUUUGUAUUCCAAUUUAUAGUGAAUGAUUUUAAAUAGAUUUUUAAUUAUCGCAUCCUAAUGUAAGGUUAUGUAAGAAACUUAAAUUUACAGUGGUGUAUUUACGGUGAAAACAAUGGAUCUGGAUCCUCUCCAAUUUGUUCUCUCCAGCAGUCCAUCCUGCGCCAAUAUAAGUCUUUGGAUUAAUCUGAAGACAAAAGGGAGAAAUAAUAAUUUAUAAUAAAAAAAUCUGCAUUAAAUUAAAUCAGAUAAACUGUGUUCAUCGUAUUUUUCCUUGUAUUCACAAAACCGUGAUUCGGGUUUAGGUCAAGGUUAAAAAAGGCAUUAGAUUUUAUUUUAUUAGAUUCAUUUUUUUAAUGAAUUUAAUAACUUAUUCAUUCCGUGUUCCCUUCAAUAAAAUAAAAAAAAAUAUUCAUUCUGCGUUAACAUAUUUAAUAUGGUCAUGCAAUCAUAUUUUACCGUCUUGUUGUAUUUUCUUCUCACCGCACCACCACUUUUCCGCCACCUAAGUCCCAAUCAAACCCGUUUUUGGAACUACGCCCAUGUUACGAAAAUUCUGCUCGACGACAACAUUGAAAGCAUGAAACAAAAGGAUCGUGAUGAGAUUGGUCGUGGAACAACGUCGUGACGGCGAUGUCUGGCCGCAUCUCCUCCGGUCGUUGUCCUUAUUCAAUCAAUUGGAAAGUAUAUUGUGAAGAUGAAUUUCAUUUUGUUUGUAUUUAGAUUGAUUUAAUUUUGUUUUACACAAAGUGAUUGAAAUUACAAACUUUAUACAUUGUGAAGUCCAUGGCCCCAUAAUGGUAAGAUUAGUUUGUUCCAUGUGAAAGGGUAUGAAAGAGGUCGAUCGAUAAUCCUUGCUCAAUUUUCUCCUUUGAGUUGCAGUGACUUGGACUGAUUUUUCAUAAGUGAAGAAGAGGAUGUGUUGCACAUUAGAAAAAAAAAUAACGAGAUACAUCUUUCUCUCUCCAUUAAUUGCCAUUUUCCCCCUUUUUUUGUGUGAACCGUUGGAGGAGAGAGGGCAGUAGACAAACAGCAGGAGGGGAUCCAAUUCCGAAAACACUAGUACUACUUCUUAACUGUGUACUAUUUGUGUAUAGAAGCGGGACUUGGUUCAGCUCAAACACUUUCAACAACUUAAACUAUGUUCACCAAAAAUUUCACUUCUCAACUUCCCUUCUACGAUAUCUAAAGUACAAGUAUUUCUUGUGUCUUUACGUGACAUAAAAGCCUAAAUUAACACAAACAAAACUAAAUAAAUGUACAAAAGUAUAAUUUCAUUUAAGGCAAAAGAUCAUGUUAGUUAUCCCACAUUCUCAUUGUUAGUGUGACCAAAAAAAGCAACUAGCUAGGAAGGUGUUUAAUUUACUAUUGACUUAAAAUUAAAUCUACAACUUAAACAAACCAAAAAAAGAAACAAAGAAAAACAAAAAAUAUUACAAUAUCACAAUACAGAGAGUUGGGUUUCUUGAUCUUCAUCAUCUACUUGAUGAAAUUCCUUAAUUGGAUGCCGUUUUCUACAUUCACUGUAAUAAACCGUCAUUAUGACGUAACUCAAAAGCACCACAAAUCCAUAACAAACUAUCACAUACACUUUCUCUUCAAAACCCAUCGACGAAUCCUCACCGUCCAUAGAUUUCUCUAUCCUCCACCUGAUCAAACUCGAAACCCACACAAAUAAACCCGAAAGAACAAACCCACAAACCCGGUUUCCCUCCAUCAAAUCGGAUCCGGUUUUUAUUGCUUCCCACCCGAAUCUCUCUUCCGCCACGGAAACCACCAAUCCGACGCUCAACACCGCCAUCAAGUAAACUUCGAGACCCGACCUGAAUAUGAGAACAAGGAGAUGCGAUCCAGUGAGUGCGUUGAGGAAGAACGGCAAGGAUGAAAAAACGAAGAGAGUGAAGUAUACGAAGAUCGACGUUACGAAAACACGCAUGAUGUUGGGUUUAAGGGAUGCGACGGCGGAGUUAACGGUGGGGGUAGGGAUGAGAGAGGAGUGAACGGCGGCGAGGGUGGCGAUGAGAGAGAAAACAUAAGCAGGGAAAGAGAAAAGGGCUUUGAUACGGAUGAGGAAAACAGCGUUGUCACGAGAUUCGUGCCAAACGUGACGAGCUUCGAAAUGGGUGGAAGCGAAGUGAGCGAGGGCUUCAAGGUGGCGGAUUUGGGAGGUGAGUUGGUGGGUGAAGAUGGAUUGGUAGAUUGAGAGGAUGGAGAGAGGGAGGGUUGUGAGGAGGAAGAUGGUUGUGAAAAGGAAUUUGUUUGUGGUUAGGAUUUGGAGAGAGUUGAAUAGGAUUUUGAAUGGGGUGAAGCAACGCCAUACAGCGCCGGCAUCGCACAUCUCUUACUGGCUACUGUCGGUGGAUCAUGGAGGAGGAAGAUGAUGAUGGUUUUAGGUUUCCUUCUUGGUUAGGACUGAGGAAGGUCGCGACCAAGUGGGGGUGGGGAAAAUGAUAAUUAAAUAAUAAAUAAUUAUAAAAAAAGAUGAUUUUAGGUUCCACUCUCUUUUCAUUUUUUGGGGUUUUAAUUUAUUAAAGCUGUUUUUUUUUUAAGCAAUUAAUUAUAAUUAGUUCAAGUUUUUUUUUUUUUUUUUUUUUACAAGAAAUAAUUAGUUGAAGUUAUCAAAGACAAAUACUAUAUUUUUCGUUCAAAUACAAAUAUGAUAUGAACCAUGCAUAAUAUAUGUAAGGUCUUUGAACCCGACACAAAAAAAAAAAAAAAAAUCUGUUCAAAAAUAUAUAUAAAUUAAAAUAAAUAUAUUAUUUUUUUGAAAAGAAAAAAAAAAAUCUAUACUCACAAAAUUUGUAUCAAAAGUUAAGUUAAUAUUGUGAACUAAAUUGGAACUAAAGUGGGUAAAGGGUCAAAAACUAUUGAAUCGAAAACUCCUUCAAAUUUUUAAUUAACUUAACUUUAGUUCUAAAAUGUGAAAAACUAUUGGGUCGAGGAAUGCUAGGACAGUUGGUCACACACUCUCUUAAGUGUAUGGUUCCACGUGUCCCUCCUUUUCAAUUUUUAUUUGCUAACCGGUUCAGCAGGUAGAGAUAUUUUUCAAACACUGUUUUUUUUUUUUUUUUUUUUUUUUUUAAUUCCUUAUUGUUUUUACACUUAUCAUUGUUGUGAAUCCAACUCCCCCGUCGUCUUCCUCGCCGUAUGCGGUACCCGGCGGUGGUUGUUUUCAGAUGAAGUAAAAACCUCUAAUGGUUAUUUGAUAUUUGGACUGGAAGCCAAGUGAACAUAUUUUUCCACUGUUUGGUCAAAUUCUUGUGUGCGGCGGAGUCCACUUGACCACCAUUGUAGAUUUCAUCCUCCCGCAACUGCAACCCAGAAAAUUUUGAGUGAUUCAGUGUUUUUUUUUAUGCAAUGUUUGAAUGUCAGCUAAUAUUUCAAUAGAAAAUCGAUUGAAUGCUUUGAUUUAUACAAUUAAUAAUUGAAGAUUUGAACAUAGGUAGUUGUGUAAGCUUUUCUCCAUGCAGGAUUAAAUAUUGAGACUUGUAUAUGGCAGUGGCGGUCCGUUUGCAGAGAUGGCUUGGCUUUUGAGAUGCCAAUAAUAAAAAAUAAAAAUAAAAAAGUAAUAAAAACAUUUCAUUCUUUAAAUGCCGGUAAACAAGGUAAGUAGAUAAAUAAGUGAAAACGUGGCACCAUACACAUAAAAAGUGUUUGUUGGAGAGUGUUUGAGUGAGUGACCAUAGCAUUAUUCAUUAUGGCUCGCCUUCUUUUGAACCUAUAUACUCUUUAUUUUGAAAGACAACAUUCAGGGUUAACUUCGGAAACCUCUUAGUCCUUAGAAUUCCAUUUGUUUUAUAGAGGACAUGGAUACACGCAUUGAUUAUCUACGAGAUUUCUCUAUAAAUUAUCUUGUGUUGAAUUGUUGAGGGGCUAAUGAUUGUAAUUUUCAUUCUAUUAUCUACGACAACGAGAUAAUUUGUCGUGUUGAUUUUUUAGCGCAUCUUGAGACAAGUUAUUAAGAAAAUUUGUAUGCAAACUGUUACAUUGGAUGUUGUUCACAUUUUUGCUCGGAUCUGGUGCCUCUGGAGAUCAAAUAAGUUUUGAGAUGAAAAAACAAAGAAAUAGGACAUAACACAAACUACACUUAGAAAAUAAGAAGUCACCAAAAAGAACAAAUACAGGUUCAACCUUGAGAAAAAUACAAAGCACAAAAAAACAAGUAGCUCCUAAAAGGGGAAAAAUACAAAAUCAACAUGACAUAAAAUCAUUAACACCCAAAAACAUCAAUCACGGUCUGCUGGAUCCUGAUCGAACCACCAUCUCCCGAAACAUCAAAGCUAGGAAGCACUUGACAACCUACAAAAGAAAUUAAAGUGAACAAUCCCCAACGGGAUGAGCGACUAGGACAAGGUCCCACUACCAGAGAUAGGGCGACCUAGAACGCCUCCUAUACAUAAUAAUAUUGGGCUCCAACAUACGACAUAGGUCACUUCUGACUCAUAAAAGGUACAUUGCCUAGCUUAACCACCCAAAGAUAUUAUAUCAAAUAUGGAGGGCCAUGUUACAAGUGACAAACACAUGAAUGACUGAUUCCUCAAUCAAUUCACAAAAGGAGGAUGAGGAAGCAUUCAGAUCCAUGAUCACCCUUAUUUUAAAAAGAUUAUCACGGGUAAUGAUCCUAUAACGGAUAAGCUUCCAAGAGAAUGCGAUCACCUUGACAUUUCCCUACAUAUGGUAUUUUGUGUUGUUAAAUACUAACAUGGUAACUUGUAUUAUGCAUACAUAUAUGUAAAAGGAAAUAUCUUCUUAAACACAGUUGAACACGCUAGGAAGGGACAAUGACAAAGAUCACACAUCUUAUCUGCAAACAUUAUGUUUACCACGCUCCUCGGAGACCAUCACUGUAAUUUAUAAAGAGAAAAUUUCAUUCGACUGAAAGGAUUUCAGAACAUAAUAAUUUACCAAGUGACAAGGUAGCAUAGAGAUGAUCAAUUGGAAGACGAACAUAGGAUUUGAAGUAAUAAGAAAGUCAUGAAUCCAACUAUUCACAAGUAACUUUGUUAUUUUUAGAAAAACACAUUAAUGAUUCUAUUUUAUCCAAAAGGUGGGAGAAAAUAUCUUUAUUCAUACAACUUUUAAAAUGGAUAUAUAAUGGACUUCACUUAUAUAUACCAUUAAAAUGGAAAUGUCAUUGACAUUGACCAAUCCAAUUAUAAUAAAUACAUCAAUUCAAUUAUUUUUUUUUUCUCUCUCUUUCACAUAUUUUUAUGUUCAAAAAAUUUAUAUUAAGUGUAGCACGGUGUUACAUUAAAUGGACCAAUGUCAUCUGAUAUUAUGUCACACAAUUGACAUCCUAUAAUACUCUAACUAUUUCAUUUUGAACUGCAACAAUAAUAAUAUUAAUAAUCCUUUAGGUGUUUUCCCUUUAAAUAAACACUAUAGUGUAGACACAUUGGAACCAAAAGAUAUAAAAAUAAAUACGGAGUAACCACUUUCAUAUUAUUUUUUUGUUUUGUCUUUCAUAGUUGCCACAAUGUUUACCAACAGGCAAUAACAACAUUAUCUAUUGCGGUGGUCUCCCCCCACAGAGAUAAGGUUGUCAUAAUCACAAGUCUAUCCCAGUCCUCAUCCAACUUCAAUUAAAAAUGUUGUAAGCAUGCACAAGAUCAGGCAUUGUCUCUAGCUAGUCGUAGAGGCCGUUGCAUCGUGCAAGAGGCAGUAGAUGGUAUCGUUUAAAUCUCCAUAAUAGUAUACAAAUAAUUUCUACUGACGAUUUAUGGGCAUAAAACUACUUUAGAAAUAGAAAACAAGGUUACAACACAACAGCGCACACUACUUUCAUAAUCUUUGACACAGGUCGAAUAUCAGCUAUCUCCCUGUAACUAUUAUGAACUUAUAUCUAGAUUAUAAGCAAAUAUUGUCUAAUCCCUACAACUUUACCAAAAUAUAUAAGUUUCCAGUACAAUGCAACCAUAAAUUGUCCGCAUAAACAAAAAAUACAACUAUAAACUGAUUAAGAAUAUAUAAUCUCAACACUUGUGUACUCCAAUGCAAAGUCAAUUUCGGGAAAUGCUACACUAAUCAAUUUGUCAUGCAUCUAACAAUGACAGAAUGUCUUAUUCAAUAUAUAAAAUGCUUUCUACUCAUUGUUUUUGUCUCUAUCUCCUUCAAACAUAAUAUCUGUUAUGUUAAAGAUCUUGGUAUUAAACAGGAGGAAAGAGUGAAGGAUUGCUUGAUAACAACAAUACAGUAAUUAACGAGCGAUCUAACUCUCAAGAUCGUACGAUCUUGCGAUUCAACAAGCCACCACCGAUCUGGAGCGGGUUGAAGAUCGGAGAUCGCGACGGAUUGGGCGUCGCGCCGAGGAAAAACGGAAACUCGGCGAAUCGUUUUUUUUUUUUUUCGAUUCAAAGAAGGGGUUUGGGCGGUUCAGAUGACGUUGACCUGAUCCGAUUUGGUUGCGACCCGGGUUGGUUAUUGCGAUUUCAACCCGUAUCGCUUUGAAAGGUCAUAAUCUAUCAUUAAUUUCGUUUUUUUGGGACUUGCUGGUGUUUAAUUGAAUCAUUAGGUUAGGAAAUUGGGAUUUUUUUCUCAUCUUCUCUGAAAUUGUAAUUCAUUCAAUGAAUCAAUUCCCUCUCAUAUUUUAUUUAUUCUAUAAAAACAAGUCCAUUGUGCAAUUCCUUCUCAAUCUCACUGUGCAAUUCCAAAAAGACAGUACUUCAAUUCCCUCACAUCUUUCACGUUUUUAGACGAUGUUUAUUAUGAUGUUUCAGAUGAUAUUAUAGAUUUUUGUAGUUACUUUUAUAAUUUUGUCUAUUAUGGAAGAUCUUACAAUCCUUGUUACUAUCCUACAAUCUACGCUUUUUCUAUAUCCCAAUGAUCUUUAGUCGGAUCCUGAUUUCGACAACCAUGCUCCCAUGCCCAAUCAGAAAAUAAUCAAUCUUCUUUAAUAUGUCCUUUGCUUCUUUAAUAUGUCCUUUAUAUAAAAAAAGAGCAAGGACUUCAUGUCAAAAUUUUACAGGGGGAUGCAUUCAUCAAGAACACAAGUUAAAACACCAAAUUUCAUUGGCUUUUUGGAUUGGUAUAUCUGAGUUUACCUACUACCAUAAACACUUAUGAGACAAUUUAAGAGAGCUUAUGGAAAUAUCUUAUAACAUGUCUAUAAGUUGUUCUCCGCUUAUUUUCAUAAUCUAUGAAGGAUAAAUAAAAACAAACGUAUAUCAAAAUAGCUAGCCUAUAUUUUAUCUUUUGUUUUGUUAUGGAAAUAGCUUAUUGCCAUACACAAACAGGACCUCUAACCAAUUAGAGAACGCAAUUGAUUAGGCAGAUUGUAAUCAUGAUCCAAACAAAUUGAACCAAGCAAUUGAGAGCAAACAAUAAAACUACCAAAAUCUAAGGAUCAAGGACUGUGCAAAAAUGAUGAAAUGAAACUCGGGUGAAGACAAUUCCAUUAAAAACUACUCUGAGAAUCAUAAGAUUACAAAAGCACAAUCCCCCACAAAUUAGCUUCCUCCAAAAUGGGAAACAUGUAAAAAAAAAUAACCUUCGUGCAAUUCAAGCACAAGGGUACUAACUACUAAUACUAUUCUACUAUACAUUCAUAGAUUAAAUUCAUUCAACAUUAAUAUUACAUAGCCUGAGAAAAAGCUAAAAAAAAAAACUCACAAGCUAUUUAUUAUUACAAAAGGGUGAAACCAUUGUUGUUAUUAGAGCAAUUCCAAAAUCGUGAAGAACCUUCUUCAUCUUGUUCUACAACCGAACCUUGAGAAGUUUGAGGGUUAGACCGAACCGGUGUACGGCAAGUAGGACACGUGGCAACCUUAAGAAGCCACGUAUCAAUACAUCUCCGAUGAAAAACAUGACCACAAGCAGCGAGAUUUCGACACCAUUGACCAUUACGAAAACCAUCCAAACAAACAGCACAACGAGAAUCGGGUUCGGAAACGGAUCCUUUGGUUAUCCGGAAGUUGGGGAGGUUGUUGAUUUCGCGAGGGAGGAAAGCGUCGGUGAGAGAUUGAAGACGUCGAGUUGGAGUAGGACGGAAACGGAGACGGUGGAGAGCACCGGCUAAGAGGAAGAGGUUGAGGAGGAGAAAGGCGGCGAAACCGAGGAAGAGGAAGAAGAGGGAUGUGAGAAGAAGCAUGAUGAUGGGUUUGAGGAAUAGGGAGAGGAGAUUAGGGUUUGGUUUUGGUUGUUCAGGAUCGCCAUGGUGAUGAUGAGGAGGCAUGGUCGUGGUUGAAAUUGAAGGUUUGAAAAAAUGGUGGCAAUAAUAACAGAAGCUUGGAAUAGGAAUUAAACAAAUAGGAAGGAAUAUAGAAGAAAUGAAGGAAGGGUCGGGAUACGCGUAGAUGUAGUUACAAAUCUAGCGGCGGGUACGGUCCACGGGUUUAUAAUAAAUCUAUGUUUGUUUGUUUGGGUUGGGGGUAUUGUUUAUAUUUAUCGUCGUUAUCUUUCUUUUUAUCUUCAAACCAAAUUAAUUCACGGAUUCCAUUUCAUUCCAAAGGGGCAUAUGCUGCUAUAGAUUCCCCUCCGUUAGAGAGUAAUUGAUGCCUCAUGAGUAAUGAAUGGGUGAGAUCAAAUCUCUGUAAAGUUGGUUAAACUACGGAUUUGAAUUUGGCGUUAUAGAAAAGCACACUGUUCCACACUGGAAUGAAUCACAGUCGUUCAAAUCACAUUGAAUGGCUCAGAUUGCACACAAAUUUAACGCAGUUAAAUAAUUUCAGUAAUUGAUUUAAAUCGAACGGUCCUCAUCUGUUACAGCGUCCUACUGUAAUAGCAGGAAAUCCAAACACUGCAUCAAUUGGGGUUGUUGGAUCGCUUUUAUAUUGUCGAGAUCAUCUAAUGUGUGAAGUAGUAGUUAUAGAGAGAGUAUUUGAUCUCGCAUCUAUUAAACAUUAAAAAUUGAGAUGUAAUGAUAGAGAUUUAUUGAUAGAUAAUGAUAUAAACUUAUUAAUUAUUAGUGAAUUCAUUUAAUGAUUUUUUUUCUAGUGAUGGGGUUACAGGAUAAAGUGCUUAUUUAGUACUAUUAUCGAAAAGUAAUAAAUGAAUGAUGUAUAUAUAUAUAUGAGACCCAAUUAAGUAAGGACUUUCAUGCAAUCCUUCGUCAAUGNCUGGAAACACCACUUCCCGUUCGACUUGCAUGUGUAAAGCAUGCCGCCAGCGUUCAUCCUGAGCCAGGAUCAAACUCUCCAUGAGAUUCCUAGUUACAUUACUUAUAGCUUCCUUGUUUGUAGACAAAGCUGAUUCGGAAAUUCAUUUCAAUGAAUAACUUGUAUUCAAGGGCUUAAUAUUCGCCGGGAGAUCCCUCCCAUAAAUAUUAUAUGGUCCUAUAUCACCUUAUGUCAACCCCAUAUCCAAUAUCCAUAAUGGUUAUUUGAUAUUUGGACUGGAAGCCAAGUGAACAUAUUUUUCCACUGUUUAGUCAAAUUCUUGUGUGCGGCGGAGUCCACUUGACCACCAUUGUAGAUCUCAUCCUCCCGCAACUGCAACCCAGAAAAUUUUGAGUGAUUCAGUGUUUUUUUUUAUGCAAUGUUUGAAUGUCAGCUAAUAUUUCAAUAGAAAAUCGAUUGAAUGCUUUGAUUUAUACAAUUAAUAAUUGAAGAUUUGAACAUAGGUAGUUGUGUAAGCUUUUCUCCAUGCAGGAUUAAAUAUUGAGACUUGUAUAUGGCAGUGGCGGUCCGUUUGCAGAGAUGGCUUGGCUUUUGAGAUGCCAAUAAUAAAAAAUAAAAAUAAAAAAGUAAUAAAAACAUUUCAUUCUUUAAAUGCCGGUAAACAAGGUAAGUAGAUAAAUAAGUGAAAACGUGGCACCAUACACAUAAAAAGUGUUUGUUGGAGAGUGUUUGAGUGAGUGACCAUAGCAUUAUUCAUUAUGGCUCGCCUUCUUUUGAACCUAUAUACUCUUUAUUUUGAAAGACAACAUUCAGGGUUAACUUCGGAAACCUCUUAGUCCUUAGAAUUCCAUUUGUUUUAUAGAGGACAUGGAUACACGCAUUGAUUAUCUACGAGAUUUCUCUAUAAAUUAUCUUGUGUUGAAUUGUUGAGGGGCUAAUGAUUGUAAUUUUCAUUCUAUUAUCUACGACAACGAGAUAAUUUGUCGUGUUGAUUUUUUAGCGCAUCUUGAGACAAGUUAUUAAGAAAAUUUGUAUGCAAACUGUUACAUUGGAUGUUGUUCACAUUUUUGCUCGGAUCUGGUGCCUCUGGAGAUCAAAUAAGUUUUGAGAUGAAAAAACAAAGAAAUAGGACAUAACACAAACUACACUUAGAAAAUAAGAAGUCACCAAAAAGAACAAAUAAAGGUUCAACCUUGAGAAAAAUACAAAGCACAAAAAAACAAGUAGCUACUAAAAGGGGAAAAAUACAAAAUCAACAUGACAUAAAAUCAUUAACACCCAAAAACAUCAAUCACGGUCUGCUGGAUCCUGAUCGAACCACCAUCUCCCGAAACAUCAAAGCUAGGAAGCACUUGACAACCUACAAAAGAAAUUAAAGUGAACAAUCCCCAACGGGAUGAGCGACUAGGACAAGGUCCCACUACCAGAGAUAGGGCGACCUAGAACGCCUCCUAUACAUAAUAAUAUUGGGCUCCAACAUACGACAUAGGUCACUUCUGACUCAUAAAAGGUACAUUGCCUAGCUUAACCACCCAAAGAUAUUAUAUCAAAUAUGGAGGGCCAUGUUACAAGUGACAAACACAUGAAUGACUGAUUCCUCAAUCAAUUCACAAAAGGAGGAUGAGGAAGCAUUCAGAUCCAUGAUCACCCUUAUUUUAAAAAGAUUAUCACGGGUAAUGAUCCUAUAACGGAUAAGCUUCCAAGAGAAUGCGAUCACCUUGACAUUUCCCUACAUAUGGUAUUUUGUGUUGUUAAAUACUAACAUGGUAACUUGUAUUAUGCAUACAUAUAUGUAAAAGGAAAUAUCUUCUUAAACACAGUUGAACACGCUAGGAAGGGACAAUGACAAAGAUCACACAUCUUAUCUGCAAACAUUAUGUUUACCACGCUCCUCGGAGACCAUCACUGUAAUUUAUAAAGAGAAAAUUUCAUUCGACUGAAAGGAUUUCAGAACAUAAUAAUUUACCAAGUGACAAGGUAGCAUAGAGAUGAUCAAUUGGAAGACGAACAUAGGAUUUGAAGUAAUAAGAAAGUCAUGAAUCCAACUAUUCACAAGUAACUUUGUUAUUUUUAGAAAAACACAUUAAUGAUUCUAUUUUAUCCAAAAGGUGGGAGAAAAUAUCUUUAUUCAUACAACUUUUAAAAUGGAUAUAUAAUGGACUUCACUUAUAUAUACCAUUAAAAUGGAAAUGUCAUUGACAUUGACCAAUCCAAUUAUAAUAAAUACAUCAAUUCAAUUAUUUUUUUUUUCUCUCUCUUUCACAUAUUUUUAUGUUCAAAAAAUUUAUAUUAAGUGUAGCACGGUGUUACAUUAAAUGGACCAAUGUCAUCUGAUAUUAUGUCACACAAUUGACAUCCUAUAAUACUCUAACUAUUUCAUUUUGAACUGCAACAAUAAUAAUAUUAAUAAUCCUUUAGGUGUUUUCCCUUUAAAUAAACACUAUAGUGUAGACACAUUGGAACCAAAAGAUAUAAAAAUAAAUACGGAGUAACCACUUUCAUAUUAUUUUUUUGUUUUGUCUUUCAUAGUUGCCACAAUGUUUACCAACAGGCAAUAACAACAUUAUCUAUUGCGGUGGUCUCCCCCCACAGAGAUAAGGUUGUCAUAAUCACAAGUCUAUCCCAGUCCUCAUCCAACUUCAAUUAAAAAUGUUGUAAGCAUGCACAAGAUCAGGCAUUGUCUCUAGCUAGUCGUAGAGGCCGUUGCAUCGUGCAAGAGGCAGUAGAUGGUAUCGUUUAAAUCUCCAUAAUAGUAUACAAAUAAUUUCUACUGACGAUUUAUGGGCAUAAAACUACUUUAGAAAUAGAAAACAAGGUUACAACACAACAGCGCACACUACUUUCAUAAUCUUUGACACAGGUCGAAUAUCAGCUAUCUCCCUGUAACUAUUAUGAACUUAUAUCUAGAUUAUAAGCAAAUAUUGUCUAAUCCCUACAACUUUACCAAAAUAUAUAAGUUUCCAGUACAAUGCAACCAUAAAUUGUCCGCAUAAACAAAAAAUACAACUAUAAACUGAUUAAGAAUAUAUAAUCUCAACACUUGUGUACUCCAAUGCAAAGUCAAUUUCGGGAAAUGCUACACUAAUCAAUUUGUCAUGCAUCUAACAAUGACAGAAUGUCUUAUUCAAUAUAUAAAAUGCUUUCUACUCAUUGUUUUUGUCUCUAUCUCCUUCAAACAUAAUAUCUGUUAUGUUAAAGAUCUUGGUAUUAAACAGGAGGAAAGAGUGAAGGAUUGCUUGAUAACAACAAUACAGUAAUUAACGAGCGAUCUAACUCUCAAGAUCGUACGAUCUUGCGAUUCAACAAGCCACCACCGAUCUGGAGCGGGUUGAAGAUCGGAGAUCGCGACGGAUUGGGCGUCGCGCCGAGGAAAAACGGAAACUCGGCGAAUCGUUUUUUUUUUUUUUCGAUUCAAAGAAGGGGUUUGGGCGGUUCAGAUGACGUUGACCUGAUCCGAUUUGGUUGCGACCCGGGUUGGUUAUUGCGAUUUCAACCCGUAUCGCUUUGAAAGGUCAUAAUCUAUCAUUAAUUUCGUUUUUUUGGGACUUGCUGGUGUUUAAUUGAAUCAUUAGGUUAGGAAAUUGGGAUUUUUUUCUCAUCUUCUCUGAAAUUGUAAUUCAUUCAAUGAAUCAAUUCCCUCUCAUAUUUUAUUUAUUCUAUAAAAACAAGUCCAUUGUGCAAUUCCUUCUCAAUCUCACUGUGCAAUUCCAAAAAGACAGUACUUCAAUUCCCUCACAUCUUUCACGUUUUUAGACGAUGUUUAUUAUGAUGUUUCAGAUGAUAUUAUAGAUUUUUGUAGUUACUUUUAUAAUUUUGUCUAUUAUGGAAGAUCUUACAAUCCUUGUUACUAUCCUACAAUCUACGCUUUUUCUAUAUCCCAAUGAUCUUUAGUCGGAUCCUGAUUUCGACAACCAUGCUCCCAUGCCCAAUCAGAAAAUAAUCAAUCUUCUUUAAUAUGUCCUUUGCUUCUUUAAUAUGUCCUUUAUAUAAAAAAAGAGCAAGGACUUCAUGUCAAAAUUUUACAGGGGGAUGCAUUCAUCAAGAACACAAGUUAAAACACCAAAUUUCAUUGGCUUUUUGGAUUGGUAUAUCUGAGUUUACCUACUACCAUAAACACUUAUGAGACAAUUUAAGAGAGCUUAUGGAAAUAUCUUAUAACAUGUCUAUAAGUUGUUCUCCGCUUAUUUUCAUAAUCUAUGAAGGAUAAAUAAAAACAAACGUAUAUCAAAAUAGCUAGCCUAUAUUUUAUCUUUUGUUUUGUUAUGGAAAUAGCUUAUUGCCAUACACAAACAGGACCUCUAACCAAUUAGAGAACGCAAUUGAUUAGGCAGAUUGUAAUCAUGAUCCAAACAAAUUGAACCAAGCAAUUGAGAGCAAACAAUAAAACUACCAAAAUCUAAGGAUCAAGGACUGUGCAAAAAUGAUGAAAUGAAACUCGGGUGAAGACAAUUCCAUUAAAAACUACUCUGAGAAUCAUAAGAUUACAAAAGCACAAUCCCCCACAAAUUAGCUUCCUCCAAAAUGGGAAACAUGUAAAAAAAAAUAACCUUCGUGCAAUUCAAGCACAAGGGUACUAACUACUAAUACUAUUCUACUAUACAUUCAUAGAUUAAAUUCAUUCAACAUUAAUAUUACAUAGCCUGAGAAAAAGCUAAAAAAAAAAACUCACAAGCUAUUUAUUAUUACAAAAGGGUGAAACCAUUGUUGUUAUUAGAGCAAUUCCAAAAUCGUGAAGAACCUUCUUCAUCUUGUUCUACAACCGAACCUUGAGAAGUUUGAGGGUUAGACCGAACCGGUGUACGGCAAGUAGGACACGUGGCAACCUUAAGAAGCCACGUAUCAAUACAUCUCCGAUGAAAAACAUGACCACAAGCAGCGAGAUUUCGACACCAUUGACCAUUACGAAAACCAUCCAAACAAACAGCACAACGAGAAUCGGGUUCGGAAACGGAUCCUUUGGUUAUCCGGAAGUUGGGGAGGUUGUUGAUUUCGCGAGGGAGGAAAGCGUCGGUGAGAGAUUGAAGACGUCGAGUUGGAGUAGGACGGAAACGGAGACGGUGGAGAGCACCGGCUAAGAGGAAGAGGUUGAGGAGGAGAAAGGCGGCGAAACCGAGGAAGAGGAAGAAGAGGGAUGUGAGAAGAAGCAUGAUGAUGGGUUUGAGGAAUAGGGAGAGGAGAUUAGGGUUUGGUUUUGGUUGUUCAGGAUCGCCAUGGUGAUGAUGAGGAGGCAUGGUCGUGGUUGAAAUUGAAGGUUUGAAAAAAUGGUGGCAAUAAUAACAGAAGCUUGGAAUAGGAAUUAAACAAAUAGGAAGGAAUAUAGAAGAAAUGAAGGAAGGGUCGGGAUACGCGUAGAUGUAGUUACAAAUCUAGCGGCGGGUACGGUCCACGGGUUUAUAAUAAAUCUAUGUUUGUUUGUUUGGGUUGGGGGUAUUGUUUAUAUUUAUCGUCGUUAUCUUUCUUUUUAUCUUCAAACCAAAUUAAUUC